GAUUCUUGAAUAAUUUUUUAGGUGUGAAUGGUGCCUGUAUGGUUUCCGGUAAACUAUUUGCCGAGCUAGCAAAUGAAUGUUUUAUUGACUGAUAUCUAAAUUUGCCGUUUGUCAUCUUGUUUAUCAUCUUGUUUUUAACUCACAGAUAUAGACGUUGUAGCUUAAAGAAGCUAGGCUUUCUGAUAUGUUUAAACUCAUCACUAAAAAGAAACUAAAGGUGCUUUGCGAGGUAAUGUUAAAGUUAUGUACAAAGACAUAAACGGUCGAAGUCUUCGUCCAAAACGAGGGGUGGGAUUUUGUAUAAGUAGAAUGAGGAGGCUAGUCAACUAGCCUUAUACUGAGAAUUAUAUAACAAGUAGUAAUAAAUUGAUAUUAUAUCACUAGAUUGAGAAAGAAACUCAUAUCUAGCAAAAAUGAUGGAGUCUCAGCAGUUGCACCUAUGCAUUAUGAUGUAUGCUCGUUGGUAAGUACAUGGCUGCUAAUGGACCAGAAGUGGCCUAAACAAAUCUAAAGUUUUCAACAGCUCUAGGUUAGAACAAUAUAAACUCAGACCAGAGGUUAGGUCGUUAAUGCAUGGUCGUAGACGCACUUAAAGUUGAAACAAAUGACUUUAGAGUUGAAACAAAUGACACACCCCCUAUAUUUGAUGACUGAUGUGCUCUGUGACGUUCUUUUCUUUUUGGGAACGAGGACUGGCUAAAAUUUGGUUGAGCAUGGAACUAAACCUAGGUCACUACACUAGCUCAACCAAUUGGUAUUCUCUUCACUUUCACCCUUGUUGAGAGAUUGAAUAAUGCUGAGAUGCUGCGAAAGAAAGUAGAGGUAACAUAAUUAUAAUUCCGUGUUGAUGCUCAUAUUCUUAUAGAACCUAAAUCUCAGUGAAAGGAAGGAGAGCCAAAUAAGAAAUCUCAGUGAAAGCAAGGAGAGACAAAUAAGAAAUCUUCCUUCUCAAGAGAAAUGUAUAAACAAUUCCCCAAAUGCUGCGUGGAUUGGUUACAUGUAGGACAUGUUCUAUGAAAAAAAUGGAAGGAUUGACAAUUUCCAGAAACAAUUGCCAGAUCAGUCCUUCGGGUUUUUAAGGAAGAUCACAAGCAAACAAGUACCCAAAUAUCAGCCAAACAUCAACGAGAAAUACUAUAAAUAGACUCAAAAUUAAAAUGUUGAGAAGAGAAUUUGGAAUGGGCUUCUUUAUGGGCUUUUCUUGGGCCUAAGCCAUGAAAAUUCCAUUAUAAUUCUACCAUGUUUGGAGAGCGCUUGCCUGCAAGUUCGUGACUUUUUAAAAGAUCCCUUGCGUUGAAUAUGAUCAAAAUGUUAUGAUCUCUUAGAAACUCAAUCUUGUAGGCAUUCACUUCAGUCCUGAGAAUUUUGAAAGGUCCAUCAGUUCUUUGCUUGAGCUUGCUAUGACAGCCUAAUGGGAAGUGUUUUUAGCAAAAAUAAGUCUAUACUAAAUCCCUUUCUUUGAAGGCCUUAGGUUUCUGUGCUUGCUAGCAAUGUCAUGGCACUUCUGAUCAUGCUUCUCAAUUUGGGCUGGUACUUGUUUAUAAAGCUUUUGGAUGUUCUUGGCUUUUUUUUUUAAUCUUUACUAAAAUGAUGAGUAAGUUGUCUGAAUAGGAGUUAAGUUCAAUGAGUUAACAGGAUUCAGCCUAUAGAUCACAUGGAAAGGGCUAAUACAGGUAGUUUAGUUAGAUGAUGACCAGGUGCCGGUAAACUCAUCUUAAUCCAAAGACUUCAUUGAUGAAUAUUCAUACUUGCUAAGCACCUUAAGAGAUUACUCAUGCUCCUAUUGACAACGUCUAUUUGUCCAUCUGUUUGUGUGAUGUGAGGACCUAAAUUGGAGAGUAGUGCCAAGCUUCCUAGUACGCCUAAAAUGACCGACAAAUUUGUGAUCAUGGUAGGAAGCGAUUGUUUUCGUUAUACGAUUAAGUUUGACAAUCUUUAAAAAGUAAAGCUCGGAAGCAUGAUUAGAAACAUCUAAGGUUAUAUUCUAAGGUGUAAAAUGAGCUUUUUUUAGAGAAGCAGUCAAUAACCUCUAUGAUAAAGUCUUUUAUUUUUUUGACUGCAAGGUAAGCCUAAGAUAUAGUCAAGGUUCAUUGCCCCCAAGGAACUAGUGUUAGUAUGCAGUGACCAAUAUUCUGAGCAUGAUCUUUGUUAGUAACAAGUCCUUUAGUUAUGUGACAACUCAUACAUUUUUAACGUAAUAUGUGAAACCUCGAGGUAUAUGUGGCCAACCUUUUUUAUUAUUUUUCUUUUGAAGAAUAGUCAUAUUUUUGCCCCGGUGACAAUAUUCACAAGUCCACUUUUGUUAGCUAAAUAGCAUGAGAUGGUGAAUGUUUGAGAAUACAUAUAAGAUUAUUCUUGGAGAGAUAGCCAUUACGAUGAAUGAAGUGAGAAUAAGGCCCUUUAGGAUAUUUCUCCAAAAUUCUACCAAAAUAAGAAUUAUCCUUAUAACACCAAAGACUGUCACUUGCAUGGAAACAAGCAAGAAAUGUCUUCAGCUCAAUGCAUUAGCCAUUUUUAAGGAUUCUUAAUUUAAAAUGGGGUUGUAAUUAAAUAGAUCAAAUAUAGAUCAGAUAUCAGUAUAUUCGUAUCUAUAUUCAUUUAUGAUGGGGAGCAAAAUGGAUCGUCCAGCCCACCACAAAAGAGCCACCCAAUUUCGGCCCAAUAGACACCAACGCCGACCAAACGUGUCCUCGGUCUGGCCCAGAAUCAGCCCGACCUCGGGAUCCGCUGAGAGCUCCUUCCACCUCUUAUAUUCGCCGACUCGUCCGACCAAGUACGGAGCGCCUCCUUUAUUCGCCGACUCACCCAAUUUAGUUCGGAGCGCCUUCUGUAUUUGCCGACUCGCCCAACCAAGUUCGGAGCGCUUCCUGUAUUCGCUGACUCCCCCGACCGAGCUUGGGGCGCCCUCUCAAGUAAUACGCCCCGACCUUUGAGCUCGAGGCGCUCCACUGAGCACAUUUCGGAACCCGAGAUGCAAGGCCGACCUUAGCACCAGUCUAGCCGACCUCGCCAAAUGCCUAAUGCGAUCUCUCAACGAGCUCGGCCUCACCAAUGGCCGCACCCAUGUGCAUGCCCACACUCUUCUACGUGGUCGUACAUUACGAUGCCACUAUGCCACGCUUUGCUCGCUAGCCCACGGCGGCCAAAAGACAGCGUCGUACUACUCCGGCCAUACCCUGCUACGGCUGUCAAUGCCUUACCGUUCCCAGGAACGAACUCCACCACGCGCCACAAACAAUCUCUGGCUGCGCGCCACUCCCACUCAUGAUGGGAAUGGGCCAUACCUCUACCACCAAAGCAUCCUUACCGAGACUAUAAAAAAUCCCAACAGGUAACACCUAAGGAACUUUUUGGCUGGACCUACUAAGCUCCACUUUAACUUGAUCGUCGGAGGGCCCUCACCGGAAACACCAGUGAGGCUUUAUGCAGGUACACCAUCAAAUGCGGGAGGUGGCUCUCCUCAUCUUCCUCCGCACUCUGGCAGCUCCCCCGACUCCUCUGGCGUCGUCACCCUCGGGCCAGAUUUGAACCAUAAUAUUUUUGGCGCUAGAGGAAGGGCCUGAGUCGUAAUCAUGAGAUUACGGAGUCACGAAGCUUCAAACGCAUCAAGCAACCAAGCACUAGUGCCCGGCCACUCCCUUCAAAGUCCACCCCCUGCAGCGCCCGCACCAGUGAACCAAAUCCCUCAAGUCCAGCCAGAGCAGUUUUACUUGCUCGCCCAGCAAGUCUAAGCUCUCACCAUGGUUGUUCAAAGCCUUUAGCCAAUAGGAGCCUCAUCUCUCGCCAAGCUUAACAGAAAAGUCGAGGAAGUGGGGCAACAAGUCCAGAUGCUCCUGGAUCGAGUUGCGGAGCGCCACAAAGGGCGCCACCGAUUGAGGAGCAGAUCCCCCCGAAGGUCCGGUAAAUAUGUCCCUGAUGCAGCACAAGUAUGGGAAAAGAGGAGAAGGAAGAACAAGAGAGGGAGAAGGAAGAAGAGAUUAUAGGGACGCAGGAAGAAGAGAAGGGGAGGAGGAGGAGGAAGAAGAAGAAUAAGAUGUGGGGAAAAGAAAGUUCUUAAUCAUUCAUUCAUUCCCUAAUCAUGAAAAUAGUCCCCUAUAUAUAGGGUCAAAUAAACACAAUUAACAUAAAACCCCCUUACACAAAAAUAACUCCUAAUAAGCCCACAAAUAACACAAAUAAGCCCUAAAAUGCAAACAAGCCUAGAAAUAAAAAUAAAAUAAAUAUGCAAAUAAAUGGGUCUGACUCAAUCCGGGGGCUCAGGAUCAUCUGGAUGAAGGGCUCUGAUGUCCUCAUCAACUCCUCCCGGAUGAGAAAAACUCGACCCCGUUGAGUACAGGUCUGGCCGGCUGUCGUACUGCUCCAGAAGAUCGGGGUCAAGGCGCUGCAACUGUGCUCUAGAAAUCCACGUCACAUCAGACUUUAGUCGACCUUUCCACCGAAUAAGGUAACGUUGGUAACCACCGUUUCUGGUUGAAAUAACCUGCUCAUCCAAUAUAUGUUCUAUUUGUUCUCUGCAUGCAUGAAAUUUGGGAGGUGGUGGCUCAACAGUAGAUAAUAAGUCAGGGUGCCCAACAUGGGUAGGUAUAUCAAUAAAAGGGUCAGAAGGCAUGAAUAUUAUCUUUUUGUAUGGGACUAAAUCUUCAAUAUUAAAUAUCGCACUAAUCCCAUAGUCAUCAGGAAAAUCCACAGCAUAUGCAUUCGAACUGAUUUUCUUUAAGAUUUUGAACGGUUCUGCACUACAAGUUUGCAAUUUCUUAAACGUAUCUGAAAAAAAUCGUUCAAGCCUAAUUCUUAUCAUGACGUAAUCUUUUUCACUUAACUCUUUAUAACGUUUGUGUAAAUCAAAAAGGGAUUUAUAUUUUAAGUUAUUAAAGUGACUACAAUUGCUGAUUUCUUGAUGCAAUGAAUGUGGAUGGGAUGCAAUUAAUUGUGCAGACUCAAAGACUCUAUACUGAUGAGACAUGAAAAACAGGUCUAUGAGUUGCCUAGGUUUGUAAUCAUGCACCACUUCGAAUGGACUCAUACAUAUGGAUUUGUUAACCGAACUAUUACAUGCAAACUCAAUUGUCGGUAACAUUAAAUUCCAGAUCCUAGCAUAUGCAUUCGGUCUAAGCCUAUGAUGUGGAAGGUUGGGCAGAGAUGCUCCGGAAACUAGAUCAAUUGCACGUUGGAUAUCAUGCAUUGGAGAAAGUGCAUCCAAAAGAUCAUCAGGGACUACAUCAUGAAACUCCUCUAGAAGGGAAACUACUAUAGGGGAAUGUUCAAAAUUGGACGCCACAUGGGUAUCUUUAGCUACAAGUGCCAAUUCAGGUGACUAGCUCUCAAUAUCUGUCACUACCUCUUUGAUAGUAGUGAUGUGAAGUGGCUUGGUUAUACUUAAAUCAAUAGUCUUCCUUUGGGAAUCAUUUUGGAUAAAGUCUAAUUCUGUAGGUUCGUCUUCAAAGUCUUUUUCAUAGUCUUCUAUAUUUGGUUCAUAGACUUCUUCGACAUAUUCGACCUCUUGGCUCCUAACUUCUGGUUCAGUAAUCAGGUAGGUUCUAAUGGAACAUUGGGAUGCUAUGUGGUCGAAUUGUUGACACUUUGAGUAUUGGGUUUGGUGCCCAAGAAAAUGGGGAAGGAUUACAGGUAGGGCUGGCGGUGUAUAGGUCUUAGAAUUUUGCAUGAGCUCACGGAUCUCUUGUGUAAAUUCCUUGUAUCCAGCACGCAUGGCAAUGAUCUGUUUUAGGAGAGACCUCAAAAUGUCGGAACUCAUGGUAGCUACAGGGAUUUUAGGUUGAUUGAGAUAGUACUCCAUAUCACUACAGGUUGGCAUGCAAUGAUGAUACUGGGUGAUGAUGUGAAAUGCCGUGUCGCUAAUGAAACCCUAAUAACUAUGAUGUAGGACCAAAUUUGAUGCAGGACAACCUACUAAUGCAAUCUAUUAUGAUUUUAGAAAUCAGCAAGUCAUCACAAGAAUAACUUAAAAUUUAAAUGUUGCUGAUUUUUACUUCGGUUGUUCAGAAUUAAGGAUUAAGAUUAUUCAAUUUAAGAAAUUAGAUUGCAAUCAAGUAUUACAGUUGUUCUAAUCCUAAAGUAAUCUGAUCAAAUAAUAUUGAGAAACAUCCUGUUACUAAGGUGUGCUAAUUUAAUGUCAAGAUUUAAAGGGUAAUAGGACGGGUUCGGAAGUGAAAGAUUUAAUGUUCUGAAUUUUGACAACAAUAUAAAUUUUCAAGAAUAUGGCUAUCAUGCAAGAGAACUAGAACAUAAUUAAAUGAACAAACCCAAGAAAAGUGGAAACCUAUCACCUGUCGUGAAGUAGACGACCAAAGUCGUUCGCUCGUGGGCGAUGAUCAGGAGUGCGGUUGUAGCUGAUGGACUCUCCAAUUGCCGAAGAUAGAACCUGAGUACAGCAGCUCCAAAGAGAUCUGGUGGGCCUGAUGGACCGGUAAAAGUGGAGGAGAGCGGGCCUGCUGGGGUUUGGGCCACAGAAGGAAAGAUCAGUCAUGUGGGCUUGGGCCUGUGGAGUGAUGGUUGGGCUCUGAAGAAGGGGGCGGGCCUGUUGAUUGAUCCAUGAGGGACCGUGAGCCUGGGGUCGGUUCUGUGGAGUGGAGGAGGACGUGUGAACAGGUCUCGACCGAAACCCUGGGGAGCUACACCUUGGGAGGGGAACGGAGAAGCUCGGGCGGCGAGAGGCGCGAGCGGUGGUGAACGGCGGAGGGGCGUGGCGGCGGCGUGGUGCGGCAGCAGUGUGGCGCAAGGGCGGUGGAGCGGCACUGUGGUCGGUCGCGGAGGAGGCGCACGGGGCUCGGCAGCGGCGGGGAAGGCUAGCCGGUGCGGAGACGCUGCUCGUCGGGGAGGGCAACGACGGCUCGGUCACCGGAGAUCGAACGGCGACAGCUCGGGGUGCUCGGACGAGGCGGCAGAUCCGGAGGGGGCGCUCGGAGGAGGCGGCACGCGGCGACGGGCAACGGCUGUUGGACUCAGGCAGCGGGGAGGCACCGUGGACGAAACAUAAACAUAAACAUAAACAUAAACAUGAACUGAAUAAUAAAAGCAAGAUGUCUGAAUGACCGAAACAAAAGAGAAUCCCAAUGUCCCAUUGGAAAGAUUGAAAGACAAUGAAACCAGCAAAUCCAUGCAUAUAUAUGAACUGAUGUCCAAUCUAUGAGCUAGCAGCUACUAAGAUCUUAGCAAAGAAAAAGGAUGUGUGGUUGCAAAAAGGAAACCUCGGGUUAAUUGGUAAGUGAGGGCAUCAAUCAAUGGGUCAAUCAUGCUUGUGGUGGGCUACAAAAAAAAAGCAUGUGGAUGCAAGUCUGAUCUGCUUUUAACCCCUUUCCAAAGCUUGCUAAGCCUCCCUUAAGCUCCCAAGUAAACAAAUACUUCUUUCUAAAAACACCCCCUCCAAUCAAGUCCCUUUUACAAAACAUAAAGUCUCAAACAUGUUUGAAACAAAUGGUGGGAUUCCUGGCCUUGGGAGGCCGAAGCUCAUCCACAUUUUACUUUGUGCACCUCUCUCUCUCUCUCUCUCNNNNNNNNNNNNNNNNNNNNUCUCUCUCUCUCUCUCUCUCCUCCUCUCUCUCUCUCUCUCACACACACACACACACUAACACACACAGAGAGAGAGAGUGGCCAUUUCUGCACUCAACUGGUUUCUUUUGCUUUCUGGGUCUUUCUCUAAUUUGCCAGCCCUUCCCUCCCGAAUCUCCAACAGCAAUAAUAGCUCGGUCUCAUAACAGAAAAAUAAAGCUCACCACCUUCAGGACCGAGUUCCUAAAAUCUCUCGGUGCUAUCCCUUUCAGCACAAGAGAGAGAAAGGGAGUUGAAUUAUGGAAGAGUACUCUUUCCACACCUCGAAAUUAAACCCUUUUAUUUGUUUGAAAUUUGAUUGCAUGCGUUUGAGAGCACAUGGAAAGAGAUGUUCGCUGAUUUGAGCUGCAGAACUGCAAAUCACAAGAAUUUUGAUAUUACCACUCUUCCAAUGAUGCCUUUUUCAGGUACCAUCCAUCACGAAGUGUCUCCUGUGCCACUCCAUGAAGUGACAAGAUAAAGUCAAGUCAAGUUUUUAUUCUCUCCACUCUUCUCAUACAUGCACAGUCUCUCUCUGCAUCUGUCUCUCCUCAAGGAGCUUUAGGCCUAGAGAUAAGAACACGGAAGAAACCAGAUACUACUGUUUGAGCCCUUUUUCUUCCAGCACAGGUGAAAGAAAACGAACAAAAAAAAGAAAAGCUUCCCAUGUUCCCAUCGGGCACCAUGUCCAACUGCACCUCCAUGUCUGAAGAAGCCAGUGUUUCUUCUGAUACCAGAGCCCAUGACUACAAUAAUAGUUUGAGCUCUCUGUGCGCACCCAUAUCUCCUCCGUAUCGCCAACAACAGCAACAAGAGCCACAACCAAAGGCUAAGAAGAAGAGAAGCCAGCCUGGGAACCCAGGUAGGAAGGAUCUCCUCCAAUUUUUCUUUUAUUUUACUCAUAUAAAAGGAUAAAUUCUCGUGAAAGAAGAAAAAAAAUAAAGAAUAUGGUUGUUUUUAUGUUCUAAUUUUAUUGAUGUCGGAUUUUCUCACAAAACCAUUUUGUUGGUGUUGGCUAUAGACCCAGAUGCUGAAGUGAUUGCUUUGUCCCCAAAGACCCUGAUGGCUACCAAUAGAUUUGUGUGUGAGAUAUGUAACAAGGGUUUUCAGAGGGAUCAGAACCUCCAGCUCCACAGGAGGGGCCACAACCUGCCAUGGAAGCUGAGGCAGAAGAGCAGCAAGGAAGGGGUGAGGAAGAGGGUGUAUGUGUGCCCAGAGGCAUCCUGUAUCCACCACCACCCUUCCAGGGCCCUUGGGGACCUCACAGGGAUCAAGAAGCACUACAGUAGGAAGCAUGGGGAGAAGAAGUGGAAGUGUGAGAAGUGCUCCAAGAGAUAUGCUGUGCACUCUGACUGGAAGGCCCAUGUGAAGACCUGUGGGACAAGGGAGUAUAGAUGUGAUUGUGGUGCCCUCUUCUCUAGGUUGGUGAUCUUCUCUUUCAAGUUUUCUGGAGGUAACUCAUUUAUUAUUUAGUAUAGUAAUAAUCAUGGAAGUAAGUGAAUCUCUUUUCUUCUUUUUCUUCUCCUCCAUAUAUUCCUCACCUCCUGGUUUCCCUACUUGUUUGGUUACACCUAGAAUUACAUACUUGGAUUUUCAUGCGAGGUAAUUUCAUUGCAAGCCUAGUAUGGACCUAUUUUAUCAAUAUAUAUGUGUGUGUGUGUGUGUGUGUGUGUGUGUGUUGUUGAGAUCUUUAGGUUGGAUCCUACAAUAAUAUUAUUGAUCUCGAAUUCCAGGGGCACAUAUAUGAACUUGUUGAUCUCGUCAAAGCAAACUAAGGUGUAGAUUUCGUACGUGUGAUUUCUACCUCGGGUUUGAUAACGAGAAUUCCAUGAUUUCUAGCUAAUUAUAUGGAGAUUAUCUCCAUCAAAAUUCAAAGGGAAAAGAGACGAGGACCUUCAUUGGGCUGCAAGGGAUUUCAGAUGCGAAUUAAGACAUCCCUUCUGUGUCUUUACCUUCUUCUUGCAUGCUGUUUUUGCUUCAUUCUUCGUGAUUUCUUGAUCUGGAACUAGAUAUUUUAUAUAAUUGUUAUAAGAGUAUUUCUUUUCAUGCAUUAUCUAAUAAUAUUCGGCACUACAAAGAGAAGAUCACUGCAUGAAAUUUUUAGCCAAUCACAUGGGACACAUCUUAAACUUAGAGUUCGAUGCGUCCCAUUGUCUUCCUUUACUUUUAUUUACUGUUCGUUUGGAUUCAGAAAAGAGAUUUCUAGUGGAAUUCAUGCUCAAAUGGAAGUCCUUUUUUUCUCAAUGUAAUGUUCAUUAUUGAUGUGGGGCAACGAACCUACGAGAAGAACCGCAUGUGACUUAUCUGAAACGUAAUUGAUUGCAUCGACAGAUUAUAGAAUCGCCACUGUACAUAGUUGUCAGUUCAUGAUUGUUCUUAAGCUGACAAAACUCUUCAUAGCCAUGUGAGGGGAUGGGACGAGAGAGAGAGAGAGAGACAAGGUCAAUAUCAAAGUCUUCCUUAAAAUCAAUUAUAGAGAUUGUGUUGGUAAUGCAAGACAAAAGCCGGAAACAAAAGCAAAACACCAUAGGGAAGGAAGAUAUUAUAUCAUUGGAUGUAUCUACUGUUAUAAGAUUUUAUCCCACGCCCAUUUCGUUGUCCUCUUGCAUUUGUACUGAAAACUGAAGUAAUAAAAACCUGGAAUGGUACCUCUUCUCUUUUCCUUAUCUAUUUUUGGGCAUCAAUUAAAUGUGAUAUUGAUUAAAAUCCUCCUUUAACUACCGUGGUAAACAAAACUUAGAGCUACAUGCACCUCUAAAUUAUGUUUAAAAAAUGAUAUAUAAGAUGAUCCAAGAAGUAAAAAGUGAGAAGGUCAAGAAUGUGUUUCUUCGGUUAAUUUUGUUUUUUUUUAUUAAUGUAAAGGACCUUCUCUAUUCAGCUAUCGAGGUGGAAUUCAAAAUGAAGCAAUCCCUUCUUCAUUAGUUAAAAUCUCUCUCUCUCUCUUUCUCUUAUAACUGAGAACUUUUUCCUAACAUCUUCCAAGAAUGUCUUCUUCUCUUUCUCCAUAUAUAAACCCCUUUUCCUUUUUCUUAACCCCUCCUACGCCCUCUCAUUUGUAUCCCAUCUCAUCUCCCAUGCAUGACACCUCCUUUUAUUGAUCUUUCCAACUAUGUAUACCAUCUCCAUCAACAUGUAAUAAAGAAAGUAAUAAAACCUACUCUUUUAUUCUUCGUCGCCCUUUCUUAUCCUCCCUAUGAUUGUGAUUUUCUUUAUCUAGUAUCAUUUGCAUCAUCCUCCACUUUCUUUCCAAAGCUUUUCAAGCUCAAAAUGUAAAGGUCCUCCAUAUUCAUUUUUAUUAUUCUAUUUCAUUGUCCAUAUCUUCUUUUGCAGGAAGGACAGCUUCAUCACCCAUAGAGCCUUUUGUGAUGCCUUGGCAGAGGAGAGUGCAAGACUCAUGGCCACCAACACCGAUGCCACCAAGAUGACUACUUCGAUCUCCCCUCCACUCCUCAACCCUCCUCUCUUCCUCCCCUUCUCCUCUUGGGACUCCCUCCCAAACCCUAACCCUAACUUGAACACUAGUACUCCAUAUCAACUCAAGCCUGAGAACACCCUACCCUCCCUCCCCCACCCUUAUUACCUCCACCACCUCCCCACCGCCACCUCCCCCUACCUGUCGGCCACUUCCCUCCUCCAAAGAGCCUCCACCAUGGGCCCCACAACCACCACCACGACUACCGGCUCCGCCACCAUCUCCACCGCCGCCGGCGGCCAGAUGGGCAGCUCGAUGUUCGACGCUGGGCAUCCGUCCGCAUGGCAGAGGAGCGACGGCCCGACCAGGGACUUCCUCGGGGUGGUGGCCAGCGAGACCGGCGAGGAGGAGCUGCUCUCCCUAACCGGAGCCCUCGGCCUGGAUCUGGUGACCGCCGCCUCCUGCGACCGCGGUGACCACGCCAAGCACUUGGCCGGGUUCCCUCCGGUCCCCGGGACGUGGGGUGACCGUCGAGCUCAUUCCUAUGCCCCUCGUUUUGGGGAGGAGUAUCCAGGAUGAUGCCACCCGCCCAGAAUUCAUCUCUUUUCUUUUGUGAAUUUUAUUCUACUCUACUUUUUAAGUUUAUAUAUUGCUAGAACCAAUGGAAGGCAUAUCGUGAAAUAUCGUAUGAAUUUUAUUAUUUGAUUUUUAUAAGUUUUUCUCUGGAUAAUUAUAGAACAAUGGCGGCUUGGUAUUUGCUUUGUAGAAUGGGUGUCAAAGUUUUGUGAAAGCAGUUUUGGCUUGUUCGGCAGUGGUCCAAUGCUCGUACUCGCACAUUAAGAAAUUGAACCGUGCUACUACCAUGCCUGCGCGCAUUAUGUUUACCCUAUGUAGGACCAAACAGCUCGAGCGUAUUUUCGAGCACGGAUCUUCUGCACCGCGCAGUUGGCACCGUAAAUAUUCGAGAGCUUGCAUCAGGCCUUCAAAGAAGGUGGCCUUACGUAUCAGCAUGUACUCCUUUGAUGGAUNNNNNNNNNNNNNNNNNNNNNNNNNNNNNNNNNNNNNNNNNNNNNNNNNNNNNNNNNNNNNNNNNNNNNNNNNNNNNNNNNNNNNNNNNNNNNNNNNNNNNNNNNNNNNNNNNNNNNNNNNNNNNNNNNNNNNNNNNNNNNNNNNNNNNNNNNNNNNNNNNNNNNNNNNNNNNNNNNNNNNNNNNNNNNNNNNNNNNNNNNNNNNNNNNNNNNNNNNNNNNNNNNNNNNNNNNNNNNNNNNNNNNNNNNNNNNNNNNNNNNNNNNNNNNNNNNNNNNNNNNNNNNNNNNNNNNNNNNNNNNNNNNNNNNNNNNNNNNNNNNNNNNNNNNNNNNNNNNNNNNNNNNNNNNNNNNNNNNNNNNNNNNNNNNNNNNNNNNNNNNNNNNNNNNNNNNNNNNNNNNNNNNNNNNNNNNNNNNNNNNNNNNNNNNNNNNNNNNNNNNNNNNNNNNNNNNNNNNNNNNNNNNNNNNNNNNNNNNNNNNNNNNNNNNNNNNNNNNNNNNNNNNNNNNNNNNNNNNNNNNNNNNNNNNNNNNNNNNNNNNNNNNNNNNNNNNNNNNNNNNNNNNNNNNNNNNNNNNNNNNNNNNNNNNNNNNNNNNNNNNNNNNNNNNNNNNNNNNNNNNNNNNNNNNNNNNNNNNNNNNNNNNNNNNNNNNNNNNNNNNNNNNNNNNNNNNNNNNNNNNNNNNNNNNNNNNNNNNNNNNNNNNNNNNNNNNNNNNNNNNNNNNNNNNNNNNNNNNNNNNNNNNNNNNNNNNNNNNNNNNNNNNNNNNNNNNNNNNNNNNNNNNNNNNNNNNNNNNNNNNNNNNNNNNNNNNNNNNNNNNNNNNNNNNNNNNNNNNNNNNNNNNNNNNNNNNNNNNNNNNNNNNNNNNNNNNNNNNNNNNNNNNNNNNNNNNNNNNNNNNNNNNNNNNNNNNNNNNNNNNNNNNNNNNNNNNNNNNNNNNNNNNNNNNNNNNNNNNNNNNNNNNNNNNNNNNNNNNNNNNNNNNNNNNNNNNNNNNNNNNNNNNNNNNNNNNNNNNNNNNNNNNNNNNNNNNNNNNNNNNNNNNNNNNNNNNNNNNNNNNNNNNNNNNNNNNNNNNNNNNNNNNNNNNNNNNNNNNNNNNNNNNNNNNNNNNNNNNNNNNNNNNNNNNNNNNNNNNNNNNNNNNNNNNNNNNNNNNNNNNNNNNNNNNNNNNNNNNNNNNNNNNNNNNNNNNNNNNNNNNNNNNNNNNNNNNNNNNNNNNNNNNNNNNNNNNNNNNNNNNNNNNNNNNNNNNNNNNNNNNNNNNNNNNNNNNNNNNNNNNNNNNNNNNNNNNNNNNNNNNNNNNNNNNNNNNNNNNNNNNNNNNNNNNNNNNNNNNNNNNNNNNNNNNNNNNNNNNNNNNNNNNNNNNNNNNNNNNNNNNNNNNNNNNNNNNNNNNNNNNNNNNNNNNNNNNNNNNNNNNNNNNNNNNNNNNNNNNNNNNNNNNNNNNNNNNNNNNNNNNNNNNNNNNNNNNNNNNNNNNNNNNNNNNNNNNNNNNNNNNNNNNNNNNNNNNNNNNNNNNNNNNNNNNNNNNNNNNNNNNNNNNNNNNNNNNNNNNNNNNNNNNNNNNNNNNNNNNNNNNNNNNNNNNNNNNNNNNNNNNNNNNNNNNNNNNNNNNNNNNNNNNNNNNNNNNNNNNNNNNNNNNNNNNNNNNNNNNNNNNNNNNNNNNNNNNNNNNNNNNNNNNNNNNNNNNNNNNNNNNNNNNNNNNNNNNNNNNNNNNNNNNNNNNNNNNNNNNNNNNNNNNNNNNNNNNNNNNNNNNNNNNNNNNNNNNNNNNNNNNNNNNNNNNNNNNNNNNNNNNNNNNNNNNNNNNNNNNNNNNNNNNNNNNNNNNNNNNNNNNNNNNNNNNNNNNNNNNNNNNNNNNNNNNNNNNNNNNNNNNNNNNNNNNNNNNNNNNNNNNNNNNNNNNNNNNNNNNNNNNNNNNNNNNNNNNNNNNNNNNNNNNNNNNNNNNNNNNNNNNNNNNNNNNNNNNNNNNNNNNNNNNNNNNNNNNNNNNNNNNNNNNNNNNNNNNNNNNNNNNNNNNNNNNNNNNNNNNNNNNNNNNNNNNNNNNNNNNNNNNNNNNNNNNNNNNNNNNNNNNNNNNNNNNNNNNNNNNNNNNNNNNNNNNNNNNNNNNNNNNNNNAAUGUGCAAGGCACGUCUACUAAAAUAUUAAAAAUAGAUAAGUACAAAAUAAAUAAUAAAAAUAUUAAAAAAUAAAUAAUAUUAAAGAAGUAUAAAAAUAAGAUUUAAUAGAAGAUAGGGAUUGGAGGUGGAUAAGCCUAUGGUAGAGGAAGAUAGAGAAAAAGAGCAAGUAAGUUAGUAAAUAGAUAGAGAGGUUAGUUGGGAUGGAGAUAAAAGAAAUUUUAUUCACUCAAAAGAUUUCAUUGGAUGCAGAAUUUAGAAUCAAAAUUUUUAAUUAGUUAUCAACUUUUUUCAAAAUAAUCCAUGGUGAUGGUUGUGAUAUAACAAAACUAUUUUUAUGAAAUAAAUAAUAUUUCAUUCAUGGGCAAAUUCAGCAAAGCCAAUAAACUAUUUUUAUGAAACAAAUAAUAUUUUAUUCAUGGUGAUUUUGUUUUUCUGUUGUAUCAGUUGUUUUAUAAAGCCCUUGAAUAAAUACAUUCAGUUGCAUCUACCAUCAAUAUAUCCUCAGGAUAAUUUGGUAAAUCCAAAAAAGUAUCCCACAACUUAGAUCCCCUAUGAUUCAGUACUGAUUUUUAAAAUAGUAUAGAUAUUGUACAUAUUUUAUGCUAGUUUUCUGGUUGAUUGUUCCCUAUCUUAUAAAUAAGUUACACUCCUUAUUAAUUUUCGAAUUAUCAUUUGUUUGUAGUGCUUGUGAUUUUUAAAAGAUAUUUGACAUCGAUGAUUUCAUGCUUUUUUUCUAAAUGAAGGAUAGAGCAUAAGCUAUUAUGAAAAUUAUACCUUUUUAGGAAAAGAAUGGUUCCAUGAAUAUUUCAAUAAAAAUAACUUGUUUAUAAAUUAGUUUCCUUCACAUUGAUCCUUGUCUUGUAAAUAAGCUAGGGAACUAAGAUAAACGUCCAUCAAGGCUAGGAAUCAAAAAGUAAAUUUUUGAUCCAGAGGUCCGGAUCAUUAAAUACAAUUGAAACAAUGGUCAAAAAAGUAAUUUUCUUUUCUUUUCUUUGUCGAUGGAUAUUUUUCUUUCUUUCCCUUUCUUUUCUAAGGAGGGUGGGGUGCAUCCGUAUAUUCUCCUCCAACCAAAAGAGGAUUGCAAAGGAGAUUGAUAAUCUGAUCAUUUACUUGCAACCAUGAGCCAUUGGAUUGGAUUCAUAAAAAUUGGUAGGGUAAUCUCAUAUAUAUUGAAUCACAUUUUGAUACUGCUGAAUUGAGGUCUUGCGAUUAUCAUCUUAUAAUGACCGACUGACAGAUCAAUUUGGAUAUUUCCAAAAUUCUGCAAUAAAAUGUUCAGUUUUUUCACUCUACCUUCAACAAAAUCAGAUCAUGUAGCCCUCAUAGGUUUAAAUUCCAAAUUUAAUCCCUUGCAUGUAAACUAGACUCCUUACCCACAAAAAAGAAAGAAAGAAUUUUUUUUCAAAAAAAAUGUAUAUUAGACUAGGAUUCAAAUCCAUUUGGGAUCAUAUUUAUUGGCAUGCUCUGAGCCUGAAAUUGUUUCAUGGAAAAUGCUCAAGUAACUCAACAAAAUGCAAUCUAAAGUAUAAUUUCUACUUUAAAGCCAAGAGCUGUGGACCUUGAAGUCUUCGAUGACCAGGGAAAAGAUAAGGAGGCCGGCAGGGCCAAAAGGUUUCACCGAUGGUCGCGCCAAGCACAGUUCUGAAACAUCAGGGUAAUUUGGAAAAGAGAAAGUAAUUGAGUAAAGAGGAGUUACAGAGAUGUCAACGCGUGAGCAAAAUAUGUCCUGAGAGAUAAACUUAGCCUACGGAAUCCUCACGUCCUUUUCCUCUCUUUGCUUUCUUAAAUUCCGUGCAUUGUAUUGGGAUUGGGAGGGAGAUCCGCCAUAAAACUGCUAGUCCUGCUUUCAUGGUUAUAUAUUUUUUCUUACGGUCUUACCACCUUAUGCAGUGGCUGCACUAGAAAACUACUAAUACAUACAUAAUUAAUGUCUUUUAUUACUGAUCCAUUUGAAAAUUGUUUAAUCCUCCUAGAAAUUUUUUUUUCAAAAAAAAAGAAAGCAUACAAUAAAUAAAAGACAAUAAAGAAACAAAUUAAACAAAUCAAGAGCUAGACCGAGAGCUAGUAGCGUGUUUUUUUUAGCUAGUGGUAUAAUUUUUUUUUUUGUAAUUAUGUUAAGAGCUAGACCGAGAGCUAGAUAAUAUUUCAUUGUACAUUAUACAAUCAAGAAAGUAUGAAGUGUUCAAAAGAAUAUAGACAAUUUCUAAUUAUAUGAAAGUUUAGAGAAAUAUGUAACAGUAGAAAUUUGCUGGAGGUAAAGAAAUAAAGGAUGCUUGAGCAGUAUUUUUCAUUUUCCUUUUUUCUUUUACCAGGAGGGUUGUGAAGUUAUAAGUUUGAGCUUAAGGUGUAUACAGUAAUUACAAAAUAUGCUAUUUAUAAUUUAAUUACAGUGAACACAAAAAAAAAAUCAAUUAAAUAAGUGGCACAUAUAUACAUGCUUUCAUAUUGCUUUUCUUUUCUUAAUGAACCUGUGUCAACUAGAUAACUUUUAGCUGACAACUUUUUGAUGCAUUUAGUACAGAAUUAGUGGUGCAGUCGGAAUAAUUACAUCUUUUUAAAGGGGGGUGGGGCUAAAUUCAUGCUAUGUAGUGACCACACCACAUGGGCUGGAAGAACCGUUGGCGUAGAUCUCACCCUUUUGUAAAGGAAAAGAAAGCUUAAUUCCGAAUAUUCACACACAAGCACACACACACAGAGAGAGAGAGAGAGAGAGAGAGAGAGAGAGAGAGAGAGAGAGUANNNNNNNNNNNNNNNNNNNNGAGAGAGAGAGAGAGUAUUCCAGCUUCUAGGGAUUAUCUAAAGAGGUUAGUGCAAGUGUUGCAUGGGAUAUCCUCAACCAGCUUUUAAAAAGUUGGUGGGGAGGUGUACAUGCAUGUGAGUUGCAGCAGUGACGAGUCCAUUACAAACCAUUUGCCUGCCGGAAAAGGCUGCUCAGCCUUUCCCUUUUCUUCCUACUUUAUUCCUUUACCUCUCACAAGAUGACAAAACGAAAAGCUCUCUCCUCCCCCUCUUGGUGCUUGAGCUACGAUCCUUUUAAUCUUUGCACCGUAUAGAACUGUAGAGUAUUCAUAGCCGCCAUCAAAAAGAUAAAUGAUCGUCAAACAAGACAUAUCUUAUAUGAUGUAUAAGAUUAUCUUAUUUAAUGAUCGUUCAUCUUUUAAUGACAGCUACCGAAUGCUCAUAAAUGAUCCGUAUUUAUUGCACUUCUGACCCUAGAAUUUUUACCUUGCUUCCAAGACAUCAUUAUUCAAUUCACCCACAUCCCCACAAUGAAGACCUUUUAAAUGAGCGCACAAAAGAUACAUAGCAUAUUGGUUUUCUUAGUGAUGUAUUAAUUAAUUGUGACAACCAAUAUUUAAAGCAAAUUUUUCAAUUGGAACCAUAUCACCUCGUAUAUUUUUAAUAAACAAAUAUAUAUGAUUAAUCAAAGAUCAAAUUAUACUAAUUGUUUAAUUACUUUAUGUUUUGGACAUAAAUACCUUAUAGGUAAGUUUGUCCGACAGGGAUAACAUGUACAUUCCUCUCAACAAUUUACUGUAGAGGCAGGUUACCAUGGAUCUUGAGCAUCACUUGUUUACAAGUGUUCGCAGCAGGAUUUGAUGUUUGAUGUUGAAAGGAACCAUAUAAAUGUAGGAGAAGGAAGCAGCAUCAAGAUUCAAGAUAGUGAUGCAGCUCUGUCAAAGAGAUACAAAACCAAGUGUCCACUCAGUCUGAAGUUUGAAUUCAGAAACGAUGGCUCAGAGCUGUGAAACAUAGAAUUGAGAAAUGAUGGCUGUGGUCCAAGGCUCCAUAGUUGCUUUGUGGACUGCACAUUCAUCCCACAACUUGAAAUGCGUGAAGGAUCGCAAACCAAGGGCGUGCUCUCCUUGAUAUCUGUGAAAAUUGGUCAGCUCCAAAGGUUGCUGAAAAGGACAGCGUGGGUACCGUAGCCCCACCUGAUCCCUCUCUCAUAUCUAAAGUUCAUUGUGAUUCAGAGCAAAGCUACCAAUAUAAAUAACAUGAAUUCAAACCAAAGAUCACUAUAUCUCAUUAGAAGUGUAACAGCAGCAAACAUCUUCUGUGACUCAAGAAAAAUCAGAAGGUAGUUUUAGAAGACUAAUAAAAUUAUUACCAAUUCACUAUUUUUUUCAGCAGGGCCACCUUGUAAGCCAAAGAAAGCAGCAAGAGAGCCAAUGUGAUUGCGGAGAACAUGCUAGUAAUCAAAGCAAAGCCCCAUCUGAAUUAUGUUUCAUGAGUAUCAGCUGUGAUAACAGUAGCCUGCUGUAAUUCCAUCAAAAGCAUUAACCAACGGAUCAUUUUAAGUUCUAAAGAUACCUGCUAAACUGCAGCUAUAUGGAAAAAUCAUUAUCAUUUUAAAUUCUAACAUUAAUGAUCGAGAUCAUUCAUGAAAAACAGCAAUCUUUAUAUGUAGAAGUAACAGAACUGCAUUUAGGACAAUAAUGUAGAGCAAUAUAUCAUACUAAUAUUCACCUAUAUGCAGGAUAGGAUGCUUUUGAGAGUAUUUGGUUCCAAAUACUUCUUAAUGGAAAACAAUGCAGAGCCUCUCGAAAUGGAAAAAAAAACAGCACUGUUGAUCAUUAUCCGGGAUGUAUAGAAAGCUAAAAAAUAUUUAAGUUGGAUCUCUUUUGCUAGCAUGUCUAGCCAUGAAAAAUAAAUGAUAGCAAUAUAGCUAGUUAGCAAAAACACAGCAUAGACUUUUUGACUUGCACUUCAAACCAUUGAACUUGAUCUAAAUAUUUAAAAUAUAUAUAGAUUAAAAUUUACUUAUUUUAUAUGCUUCUAAGCUAUAGCGCAAAUUAAAACAUAAUAUCAUGUUAUUGAAAUUAUCAAAUUUAUCUUACUUUGAUGCAUUAGCAAAGGGCCUUGAGAAUUCAUGAUUUUUGGUUUCUAGUCGUUUUAUAUAUUAUAUAUCAUGAUCAAUUUUAUCAAUUUUCAUUUUUAAGAAACCAUUCAUUAUUUGGCUCUAAAUGCUUCCUAAUGAAAACCAAUAAAGGCCUCUUAAAAUGAAACCAGCAAUAUUGAUCAUGAUUUAAGAUAUAAAAAAUGGCUAGAUCCAAAAACUACGAAUUUUUGAAAUCUUUUACUCCUACUAUAUCAUGUUUUAGUUUGAUCAAUAGUUUAGAAAUAUAAAAAUUAGCUAAGAUUUAUUAUAUAUAUAAUUUAAUAUAUUUUAGCUAAAAUACCAAUGGCAGCUAAAAUUUCCUCCAACAAAAAAAGCUUGAUAUUUUUGGUCUUUAGCCAUAAACAAGAGGCCAACAUACCAGCUAAGGUCGCAAUUUGUAUGGAGUCUCAUAAAAGAUGCAAAGACCUCCAAAAGCUGGUGCAAUAGUGGGGGAAAAUAAUUGCAGGCUUCUCUUAAUAGAUCUUUUGUUCGUAGAACUGGUCAUACAAUUUUAGGUCUUGGAUCACAAAGAAAAUAUGUAUUUACCUUGUAAAUUAAUCAAUCAUCAAUCAAGCAGUAAAAAUUUGUCCAAUGAUUAAUAAUUCAUGUUUUGGUUAGUUAAGUGAAAUGGUAAUCAAGAUAAAACACACAUGGCAUCAACAUUAGAUGUGCUAUGACUUCUAGUAUUAAAUAUUAUGAACACAAUUACAAGUGAAGAUGCAUAGUAUUUGAAGAUGAUGAGAAGCAAUUUGAAUACAAAAGUCAAGCCAACAAGAAGAAACUCCGAUAGGAUUAUUUACCAAAAGUAAUUGGAGGAGUGUGUGUGGAAGAGACUUUACUAAAUAGGCUCCACAACUUUAUAAAUAUUGGUAAAUAUCCAUAACUCUUAACCUUCAUAGAGGCAAGAUCUGAACUCUAGUGUGACACAACCACCAAGAGACUUUAUUACCUUGGUAAAUUAGCAUUUUCCUCAUAUCUAAAUAGUUGUUUAGAGGAGAGAAUACUAGACAUCUAUUUAAGAAGGUGAACUAAAAAUACAAGGAGACAAACCUCGCUCGACGAGUAUUGAGAUGUCACCUUGACUCAUUCUAUUGUAAUUCAAACAUUUGAAAUUACUAUUGUAACUUAAUAUUGUUGUAACUAGGGCUAAUAUAUCUUGACUGGCACAUUUUAUACUGGAUUAAAUCUCUUCAUGUAUAUAUUCGUGAAGUUCAAGAAGAUUAUACUCAACUUCUACAUGGUCAUACCAAAAUUAGCAAGAUAAGAUAUCCAAAGACUAAUUGUUGCUUGUCCCAUGGACAUGCAUGAACUAAAUUUUCCAAUCAAUGACCUCUUGAGUUGGUAUCUGGACCUAAUAAUGGUUGAAAUUUGAAAUAAUUUUAUCUCGAUCUCCACGAGGUAACUUGUAUCAAAUAGGCAAUUUUUUCUGAAGUUUAAAACCAAAUAUGGAACCAAGUACAACAAAUGCAGAUCUCAUCAUAUCUUCCUCCACCAAGUUGUACGAUCCAUUGAUGCUUUAAUUAUGAACAAAUUCAAUGACAGAAAUCAAUAAAUGGAUCAAUAAACCAUUCUUGAAUGAAUCUACUAUAUAUAUCUAUGAUAUAUAUCUAAAAUAGAUACUUUGCUUGUCUAGAGCUCUCUAUUCAUCAUGUGGAUUUACCGAUAUUAAUGAUGCAAAUAUUAAUCAAUUUGGCCAUCAUUAAAAUUUGUUGCCUAAUAUAACGGAUAUUAAUGACACUGGUAUUGAUGUGCUGCCAUCACUAAAGUUUAUAGCUUAAUAUGAAACAGAAAUUUGUUUAUUAGAGCCUCCUAUCGAUUAUAAUUUGUUACAUUGUCAUAUUGCAUUUCGAAAAUAAUUAGAAAAGAAGAUAAAAUUAUUCCCCACAUAUCAUGCGGGGCCAAUGUUAAUGAUGCCAACAAUAAUGAUAGAAAUUUUUGCCCGAAAUUAAUGAAGCCGAUAUUCAUACACUCGAACAUAAAGUUCAUUGCCUAAUAUGUAACAAACAUUAAUAAUAUCAUAUGAAUAUAAUUCGCCAUAUGAACAUUAAAAUUAAAGAUGUCAAAACUAAUAUGCUCAAUCAUUAUUAAAGUUCAUUACUUAAUAUGCAAUAAAUAUUAAUAACAUUAGUAUUAAUGUGCUCUACCAUCACUAAAAAUUUAAUACUUAAUAUAUAAUAGAAACUUAGUUAAUAAAAAUUUGUAUUUAUUAUAAUUUGUUAUAUUAUCAUAUUGCAUUUCAAAGAGAGUUGGAUGAAAGAGAGAAAUUAUAUCCCAUGCAUUGCCCAAGGCCAAUGUUUAUUACACCAAUAUUAAUGAUAAGAGUUUCUACAUAGAGACUCAGCUUGUACAGAAUCCGAAAUUAGUAUAUUAGUACUAAUUGGACUAUAUUAGUACCUUGUUUUCGCAAUGUAUAACAUUUAUUGGGAGAAAAUAACAAGCAAUUGUAGAAGACAUAAUCCGGAAUUUUCAGCUAAGAAUGUGCUAUUUUUUUGCGGGUGUGUUUGCAAAUCUCCAUGAGUGUGGCAUUAAAUGUUCAUAGGUUCGAGGACCUGCCACUUCUUCGAUACACACAGCAUCUGAGAUUUCUAUCAAGUCCUCCUCUGUGAGCUUCACACUUAAUGAGCCAAUGUUGUCGUCCAAGUUCUUUAUCUUGGUCGUUCCUAAAAGAGAAAAAGAAUAAGAUCAGUACAUAACCCAAGUUCAUAAUAAAGGUGCAUUAAUUUUUAAAUAUCUCAAUGUUAUUACUAUGCUUAAUCAUUUAAUUUCGCAUAUUCCGUAUGGGACCCAAAAGAAAACAUCUUGUUCUUCAUAAGUCAUGGGACUUCCAAUGGCAAGCAAAACCUCUUAAUUAAUAGACAUCAUUAAAGAUAUACAAUUUUUCUCUUUAUAAUCUUAGUUGCCUCAAGAUUAAAAGACAUCAUCACCCCCCCAACCCCACCAAUAACAAAAACAGAAAGGAUCUUAGCUGCCUCCACAUUGAAAAGUUUACAUGUUGCGAGGCAAAUUAGAAAAAUUAAAUAACAGACCUUCCUACUUCCUUGCAUUAUGUAAACCAUGAUGCUACUAUUAAACCUGUUGUACAAGAUGAGACAAAGUCUACUUCAAGAUGCUUUUAUUAAACUUAGAUAUUGGAUUAAGUUGUAAGUUUUUAAAGCUUCACCUAGUCGAAUGGGACUAAAAGUAUGCAUGCAUUUCAGCCUGCAAUAGAUAGCUUGGAUUUGUUAGUCACUGCGACGAUUAUAAUGUAUCACUAGAACAUAUCAGAAGACUGACCAUCUGCCUCAUCAAUGAUACCUGAAAAAGACAAUAAGGAAUCCAGUUUUCAUUCAAUUUUAAACUUAUCUGUUCAAAGGAUUUGAGAGUCCUAUAUAACUCCAAUCUCUUUUUUUUCAGAAAAGUUAUAAUCUCAAUUAAUGUUUCAUACAAGUUGACUCGACAAAGAUGAAGUAAAUCAUUCAUCAUCAUCAUCAUUCCUUUUCAAUUGUUGAGGUUCCAAUAGUCUCCACUAAUGAAAUAGGAAAGGCAUUGUGACUCUCCCUUCUUAACUGACAUUUUCUUUGUAGCAAGACCAUCUUUUUUUCUUUUGGAAAGACAUGUGCCGAAGUUCCAAUAAUACUUAAAUUAAAGGGUAAAAGCAAAUGUCUUUCUCUACUCCAUCAAAGAGGGUGAAAGGAAAGAAAAGGAGAAGAAAUCUAAGGAAGCCGAAUAGUUUAGCAGAGAAGGGACAGAGAGGGGAAGGAGGGAGGUUGAGAGGGAGAAAUGGAUUAUAGUUCUGUGCCUCCUCUGAAAUAUUUUCCUUUUUUACCCUUUCGAAGGUCAUGUGCAAAGCAUAUGCCAAAUACUAGUUACUUUAUAUGAAAGGCAACCCUUCGCAGGUUCAAGAGUUUAUCCUCUAAUGAGAAGCAAGUGAUUGCUUGCAUCUACAAUUUUUAUAAUAAUGUAUUCUUGUCCAAUCAUGUUUUUUUUUAAGCGAAAAAUAUAAUUUAUUUUUUGGCCUUCUUUUAUCGACUCUAAUAUGCCUCAUUAUUUAGUAACUUGGUGUAGAUGAUAUUCUUGUUGUUUUGAAGGGUAGUUGCAUGAAACAAUUGAACUCAACAUGCUAAUCAUAAAUCAAAAUAGGCAUUGAUCGAUGUCUCCAUAAAGGGAAUGAGGACUUGGUAUCUCUUCCCCAUCUUAUUAUUAUAUUCUGUUUUUUGUCUCGUAUAGUUGGUGAGAAAAUGAAUGAUUACAAACCAGUGAAAUGAUUUUUCUGUUUGACGCAUUUUAGGCAAUGUAGAUCAUGAUCUACUGUGCAGACUUUAAUUUUGAGAGCAUUAAAAUUAUUGUCAUUGGAAAGCAUUUGGGGUGAAAAAUUCUCAAAAGCUCUAUUGCCGUUUCUCCAUCUUUUGUCUGUAAAAAUAUCAAAAGUAUCAUUGCUGUCUAUCAUUUACGUGCUUGUGUCUAUUUCUCUCUAUGCAUGUGCAUGUAUAGUACUAGAUUACACACGAAAUGUUAAAUCCUUUAUAAAGAUUUAACAGAAUCGAUGAUGGGGCCUUCAAAUUGAAGAUCAACAUAGUUUAUUGUCAUAUAUAAAUUAAUAACAGUAAUCUUUUGCUUAGGAUUCUGUACUCACUUCAGAAUAUCCAUGGAAAUUCAGCCUAAAAAAUGUCUAGAAACCAACUGGUUUUUAACCUAUGGAUCAACUGGGUACAAAAUUGGAUGGAUUUAACUAAAUGUUAUCAUAUUUUGCAUUGAUUAAAAAGUGGGAUUUCAGUUUAAAUGCCUAAAUUUUUUUUUUCAGCACUAGUCAAUGAUCAUCUUCCAGUUUUUUGCAUUCACUUGAUACAAAGGUUACAGAUAUCCAGAAUAUAUGACCUUUUAUCUUUAGGCAUUUUCAGAGAUAAAAUCAACGGUAUAGAUUUUUGCUUCAUAUGACCAAUUAUCGAUUUUGAACUCAUUAAAUAUUUUACCAAAUAUUCAGCAUUUAGUAUAAAAUCCAACUCACAAGUGCGUGCACGCAUGCAUUUGUAUGAACUUAUACAUAUUGUCCAACUUUUGUUUUGCUAGGCUCGGUUGGGAAAAUUUUCAGAAAACCUGUACUCAGUCUAAAACUUUUGAGGCCAAGUCUGGGUUUUAUGCAGCUAGUCCACCCAAAGAAAUCCAAGGCCACAUCAUCUGAUGAUAUACAUUCUGAUAUGCAUGAAACCGUAUCUAUAAACUGAGAUAAUGCUUGACAAUGCAAGGAAAUCAUCUAUGCAUGAUCAUGAACAUUACCAUGCAUAUAACAUUAUCAUAACCAUGUCCAUGACCAUCAAGCCUUAUCCUAACCAUUCAGGUUGGCUUUAAGAAUCGUCAUUAACCAAUCAUUCUUUCUGAUGGCUAGAUCUGGUGUUAUUGCAAGUUGUACUUACUAGAGAAGUUAAAGAACAAAACUGAAGAUACAGUGCUAGUAACUAAGAAUGUCAAAAUGAAAGAUGAUACAGUACAAGUGAUAUAGCAUAGUUGUUGAUAAUUGAAAAGGCUCGUGGUGAUGAAGAUUGAAGACAAUAACUAGGUUUUGCUACAAGUCGGGUUUGACUUCCAAAGCAGACUCAAGCAACAAUAAGAUAGGUAAGAUCUAAAAUGCUGCCCUGGGUGAUGAAGUAGUUUCCAAGGCUAAUAACAUAAGUUGGUUAGGUGGCUAGCAACUAACCCAUGAAAAACAAUGGGUUAUUAACUAGCAAGCAGACUCAAUUUACAACAUGAUAAACAAAGGAUAAAAUAGUAACGAAAUGAUGUUCCAGGAAAAAUGAAGCAAAGAGGUUGACAAGAAGCUAAUUUUCACAUCAAUAGUCAUGAGACAAGGAAUGAAGCUAGACAUAAUCAUAGCAUAAGAGGAAAUUACACGACUGGUCAGAAAGAUGUGAAGGUGUCAAGCCGGCAUAAUCAUACUCCAACUAAAAGGCAUAGUUCCGAUAUAAAAGUGUAACAACUCCAAAAUCCAGCAAUUUGAACAGACUAAGAAAAAGCAAUCCAAAGAUGCACCAAAGGAAAACUUAUCCUUGUUCUGAUGGACUAAGGACAAAAAGUAGAGCGAAUAGCAAUGACGAAGAAAAUAUAAGCUAAGAAAUGGGAAGGUUAAGGGCUAAGCCAAAACAAGAGGGAUGAGUGAAGGUCAGAACACAAUGAAUAUAAAAUGCUUAUAAUAAGACUCCUAUAUUAAACAGUCAGAUAGUAUACCAAACUCAAUAUAAUGCUAAGGAUGGUAAUAACCACGGACUAGCAAUAUGUUGUGGAUAUGAUGAAUGUGUGGUCUGCAAAGAUCUUGAUGCCAAACCAAGACUGACAGAUUAAUUACUGGGAAAGCUUAACUUGUAGAAGUUUGAAGAGUUCCACUAUGAUCAGAAUUAUAAGCUCCCAGAAGCAAUCCAUAUUAGUCAGAUCCAAAAGUGACUCCGCACUAAAAAAAAAAAGAAGGAAAGAUUUAAAUACUUGAAUAUGUCCAAGUACCAAAAAUGUUAGUGGGGAAAAAUUUGAGAAUGACACACCUUAAAGUCUCCAAUCAAACUAGGAAAAGGAUGAAGGAAGAACAAUGAUAUCUGACAAGGCUUAAGAAGACAUAAUCAGCUAGUUGAAGACUGUAAAAUAUGAUAGAUUCCUAAAUAAACUGUAGGCUGAUGAUAAUUAAAUUAAGGUGUCUCAUAAAGACCAAAUAAGAGUGUACUUCUAAAAUUUGGUUGUAAUUAUAGCUUAAGCACAAAAUACUAAAUAAAAGAGCCUAGUAAGUAGAAAAAAAUAAAGCUAUCUUAGAUCUUUGGAUCUACCACUUGGUGUCAAAAGGCAAAACUAAAGCAAGCAAAAAAGAGCUAAACCAAUUUUAUGGUGAUUUGAUUGCAAAGAAAGACAGAGAAAACCAUCAAUUAUUAAAAGUCCACAUAGUAAUUUGGUAAAAAAUUAGGCAUGGAGCAAAAAUGACAAAAUUUUUCAUACUUGUUACUCUGUAUUCUCAAAUUUCAACACGUCACAAUAACACAUCAUGUAUCUUGUAGACCUUGGAUCUCAUGACUUCAAUUUAUAUUCAUUGUGAUUGUCAGAUUAUAGCAGAGACACAAGAGAUUGAUAUCAGGUGGCAACACUAGAACUGACCCAAGAAAAGUAAAAUAUACCUAGGAAAGAGAUGAGUGGUAGAGGUAUUCUAGAAGACCUGACUCCCUACUUUCCUUACAUAUGUGAAGAAGCUUAUACGUACACAGGUUUUAGGGAAAAAAGAACAAAAGCAAUAUCAAAGAUAAAAAAAUUAUUCAAGAGGAAAUGUGAGUAUGCCUGUAGCCAGGUGAUCAUAGUGAUAGAAGUAAUGUAGCUUCUAACGAGGACGAUAAAUCAUGGAAUAUAAGAAUAGCAAUUAAAUGGAGCCAAUGCUUACAUUUUUAAAAAGAGUUUAGCAAGAAAGCGGAGCAGGAGGUUCGAGUGGCACAUUGAGAUUUAGAUCAAUGCAUCAGCAAGAGGAGGUAAAGUAUAGAGGUCAAGGUCUCAUUAUGUGGGAGUUCUUCCAGGAGUUCUAUCUAGUGCUUGAAUACAGCCUCAGGUACCUAGGCCCCAUUUGGGGGAGCUGUUGGCAGUAGAGCUUUUGAAAGUAGAGCUUUCUAAAGUAGAGCGUUUAUAAAAAGUUGUUUGUUGUUUGGUAACUACAUUUCUAAAGUAUUGUAGCACUUUAAUAUGCAUUUGGUAAACAAACUGAGAAAUUACUUUGGCAUGACAAAUAGACCAUAAAGGACAUUAUAUAGUAUUAUACAACNNNNNNNNNNNNNNNNNNNNNNNNNNNNNNNNNNNNNNNNNNNNNNNNNNNNNNNNNAUUAUAAUAUAGUAAUAUAAUAUUGUAUACUAUAGCAUAAUAAUUUAAUAUAAUACUAAAUUAUUUAACAGAACAUAUCAAUGUAUUAUGAUAUAACGUAAUAUAACAUUAUAUUUAUAGUAUAAUACAAUAACAAAGAUAUAAAAUAUUAUAAUUAUCAGUAUAAAUUAAUUUCUCAUAAUAUAACAUAAUAUUAAAUUAUUUAACAUAACAUAUUAAUGUAUUAUGAUAUACUGUAAUAUAAUAUUAUAUUUAUAGUAUAAUACAAUAAUAAAGGUAUAAAAUAUUAUAAUUAUUAGUGUAAAUUAAUUUUUCACCCUUCUGUAGAUUUGCAAAAUUAUAAAGGGAUAUUUUGUGUAAUUGUUAUAUUCUAUCACAGGUAUUUUGGUCAAAAAAAUCGCUUUCUGACGGAGCCUAAAAGUGCUUUUCCGGAAAGCUUCAAAAUAAAGCUUCUCCCAAAAGUUGUUUUUAGCUUUCUGGAAAAGCAAAAAAAGUUUUCCGAAAUGUUUAUCAAACACCUCUAUUUCAUUUAAAAGUGCUUUUUGACCCUCCAAAAGCUCCCCCAAACGGGGCCUUAGUCCUAUUGACCAUUUUUUGUAUCGUAACUAGCCAAAAACAUUUGUGCUUAAGGUGGAGUGGCAAAUGUGAAGAAAAAAUUGACAGGGUUAUUGCAAAGUUUUUCAAAUUCAACCACAUUCUCUUCAGUGUAGUUGACCGUAAAUAUUGCUAUAGCAUGAUUGAAGCAAUUGAGGAGGCGACUCAUAGUGUAGAUCCACUGACCGCUUAUGAGAACUCAAAUACAUAUUUGAAUGAGGAAAUGAAUGGAACAAGGAUACAUAUUGACACAUUUAAGAGAUAUUGGAAUUAAUUAGGUUGUAGAUUAAUGUGUGAUGGUUGGACAAUCGAAAACAAAAGGAACAUGCAUAAUCAAUUUCAUUAUCUACAACUGCCAUGGCAUAGUGUUUCUAAAUUAGUAGAUGCCAUUGCUCACUCCGGAAACAGUGAGUAUAUAUUUCAGUUGAUGAAUUUUGUGAUUAAAGAGAUUGAUGAGACUUAUGUGGUGCAUGUUGUUACUGAUAAUGAAAUAAGUACAACAUAGGAGGAUAACUAUUAAUAGAGAAGUCAAAGCACUGGAUUAAGAUAUUGCAAAAAAAACAAAGAUCAGGGAUGUCAUUUCUUAGGGACAAUUCUUGAUUGGAUUUGUAUAUAACCAUGGAUGGAAAGUUAGUUUUACAAGGAGGGAGACAAGAAACAAGGAGCUCAUUCAACCUACCAUAACACAAUUUGUCACUCAUUUUCUAUCCUUGCUGUGCAUAUACAAGCAUUAUAAUGAUCUCGUGAGUAUUCACCUUAUAGGAUUGGAGUAACGGCAAGGAUAGGCUUAAGCCUAAGGAUUAGAUAGGAUGUGAAUGCCAUGGUUUUGACUUUUGAGUGAUAAAGUUCUGAAAAAAAGGACAAGAGAUGAACUUAGAAUGUUUUAACAUUUUGCAAAGGUGAGAUGGGCUUCUUGUACAAAACCAUGAAUCAGGCCAAGGAGGCUAUAAAGAAGAAUUACAUGAAUUGGUACCAGAAGUUUUCCGCCAUUUUUGAUAGCCAAUGGGACGAACAUAUUGACUGCAACAUAAAUGCAGCCAGCAUGAUUUGUUUUACUUUGUACCGUUAGUUUGUAUUGUACAUCCAAUUAUUGUUGAAUGUGAAUGGGUGAUUAUUGACAAGCAUGGAUUAAAGAAGUAUAUGUAUCAUGCAAAUUAUUUCUUAAAUCCUUAUUGAGCAUAUGCCAAGAGAUUUAUUGCUGAUAAUGAGGUUUUGCUAGCCUUAAAAGGGUGACCGAGAGAUUGGAAACCGAUAUAUCAAACCAGAUAAAAGCAGAUGAUAAAGUUAUUUUGUUUACUCUGUAAUUGUUAUAAUAUUUAUACACAAAAACUUAAGAUUCAAAAGAUGUUAGCUAACAAGAUCUAAUUUUUGUAAGUCUAGUGGAGCAUUACAGAUAGGAAGGUAGAAUUAGCAUUCAGAAGGCUAUGGUUGCCAUAUAAAGGGUCAUUCUAGGUAACCUCACUUAAAAUUUUCAUAAGAAUAUUUUAGAACUUCAUUUACCAUAUUGUAGAUUAAUAAAUUCACUAAUUCAGAAAUAUCUAUUCUUAUUUCAACAAAAUGCUGAUCUAUUUAUGGAAGGGAUGAUGUUCCAUAUUCGACACCAAUUGAUUUAAUAUCUUGAGUUAAACUGCAAAGAGGAUAAUAACUAACUUGAACUUAAUUACAAUGGGUGUCAGAUGUGGAGCAUCAUCUUUCCAAAAAUAGAACACCAUUUCUUCAAAAGAAGAAAAGGCGUUCCAAAUAGUCAAUUUAGUAUACAAUAUAGUUAAUGAAGUUAUUAUAUGUUAUUAUCUAUAUUUUAAGUGAAGUUACUUAGAGUAACAAUUUCUUAUACCAGCUAUAACCUUCCAAGUGCCAAAUCUAUCCUUCCUACAUCUAUAGUAACUCACCUAAACUUAUAAAAUUUAGAUCUCAUUAACCAACAUCUUUUGAUGCUUGAGCCUUUGAAUAUUAAUAUCAUAAUAACAACAUAAUAAAAAUGUUUACUUCACUAUCAACUUCUAUCUAGUUUGAUAUAUUAGGUUUAAUCUCUCAACUGCCCUUCCAAGGCCUACUGAAACCCUUUUGUGGUGAACUACUAAAACCUUGUUAUCAACAACAAAUCUCUCAGCAUAUAUGACAAGAGGAUUUAAGAAAAUAUCCUGCAUGACAUAUGCUGUACUUCUUCAAUAAUGUUCAUGAAUAAUCAACUGAAUUCAACCAAUAAUCUCAUAUAAAACAUAACCUCAAAAAUUAUAAGGAUACAAUUAAAUUGUAAUUGUUGCAUGCAUGUUACAGUAGAGCCGAUUAUCUCAUCGGCUAUCAAUAAUACCCACCAUUUUUGGUAUAACAGCACAAGACCUCGCCUAAAAAGGCAAGCCAAAAGUUAUAUUUUCGAUUCCUUGGUACUAAAUAGACAUCAAUGGAUCCGUAUAUACCCUCCUCAUUUAAGCCUUGGCAUCCUCACUAAGCUAACGGCUCAAAUUCUAUCAAAUCCAAUUACAAACACUACAAUUAGCCUAUGGUCAGCCCUACAAGGACCCAUGUUGUAGUGUCCCCUAGUCCAUAUAGGUCAUGGGCCAAAUUCGCUCUGAUACCAUUUGUAACGACCUUGAACCUCGCUCUAAAAGGCUAGUCCGAUGUUAUAUUUUAGAUUCCUUGGCCCUGUAUAAGUAUUCAAGAACUACCCAAUACAUAGCUAAUGUGAAAUUCAAUACAUGCUCCUCACAUUUUAUACCAUUUCUAUAAUUCUGGUUUAUUGGCCCUAUCCAUGGCUCAAAUAAGAAGUUGAUCUCAACAUGGUCAUCAUUAUCUAUCCUCUUCCAAAAUUUAUCACUCAAAGUCAUGGCAUAUACAUCCUCUAAUCUUUUUGUNNNNNNNNNNNNNNNNNNNNNNNNNNNNNCCAAGGGCUCAAGUGAAGCUUGGCCAUUACAUCGACCUUGUGAUGGAAGCGUUCUCUUAAGAUCAUCAUGAUAACCUUACAUGCACUAUAAGGCUAGGAAAUGAGUAGCAAAUCAUGUUAUGGAAGGCCGAACAAGCUCCCUAUUUCCUAUCUUCCUCAUCAUCAAAUUGAGUACCCAUCCAUAGUUAUAUAAGAAUCCAAUUAAUAGCUGUCCUUGACAAAUGACCUCUUUGAUCUUUGGUUCUUUUGCAAUAUCUUCCAACAUUGGAUCAAUACACUAUGCAGCAAAUGAAGUCCAAUAUAAGUUCUUUCUCUUGUCCAUCAAUAAUUAUAUUCCUAAUUUGUAAUUUGAUCCAUUAUUCAUAACAAUGUGCACCAACUGAGAUCUUCAACCAGUGAAUUCAUCAUUUUAAAAUUGUACUUGCUACUUUUAAAGUUAGUGGUAUCUAUUGAUUACACAACAAAUUGGGUCUAUCGAUAAGAAAGAUUAUUGUCUAUUGUCCAACCAUAAUAUGCUGAUAUAUAGCCUGAUUCAUCCAGUACAUCUUAAAUGUAUCUAUAUAUGUCUGGUUGUCAUUCACUCAUCAUUCAAAUAUGCAUUUAAGAUGUCAUAAGUGGUCAAUAGGUCCACACUUCUGGUUUUCAUGGUAAUAUCUUUGUUCAGCUAUAUUGAAGACGAUAUAUGGUUGAUAAUGAAAAACUUUGCAAUAGCCCCCACUAAGGGUUGCCUUUUUAAAUGCUUCAACCAUACCAAUGGUAAUAUCUAUUUCCAGCUAUAUCGAAAGGGAUGAGAUUGAAUAUGAGGAACUUUCGACCCCAUUAUUAAAAAACUGGUCAACAAGACCAGGUACUUGAUGUCCUACUCCUGCAUUAAGGGAAACCCUUAGCACUAGAAGACCUCCCACCCAAUCCAAGGCCUUGAGCUCCAAACUUUACCUCCAUGACCUUGCAUGUCUGCUAAACUCGUCCAGAUGCAUUCAUUUGUUUUGUUUUAUUCUUAUUCUUAUAUCCCGUCUCUCAUUGUCCUCAUCAAAAUCUGCAUCACUACUAUCAUGUCAUCGCCUACAGCUAAAAUCAUACUCUAUAAUAUUUUCUCCUUCCCAAUUGCAAUCUGUUUUUCUUUCCUUCCUAAAACAUGUCCAUGAUUAGCUUCUUGAUAUCUACAAGGACUUUAUGUCAGUGUGUCAUAUUUUCUUGAAUCCAUGCUAGUUUCAAGUCGACAUUCAUCUCCUUUCCACUAUAGGUGCAGUUUACUCUUAUCAGAUCUCCAUCAUACUACAGUGCAGCCAUUUAUGUUACACAGACUCCGGUUCAUGUGUCAAAUACUAGUAGUCUAGUACUUUUCUUAGUGUUGAAGGACUUGAAUCUUUUCAAUUUCUAAGUAUCAUACCAAUAUCUAUAUUUAGGUAUUGGUUGUGGAUACUUUAGGCUAAAUCAAAGGGUCUGGGAAACAUAAACUGCCACCAAAUAUCCAACUCCCAAGAGGACAUAUCAUGGAGCCAUAAUCUAAUAAUCAAAGUAAGUACUACUCAAAGUCACUAGAUACAAGGCAUACAAGACAUAACAUAAUUUAUUAUUAUAACAUGUUGAAACUUCAGAGAGGCGUGUAACAAACUAGACAAAUUUUGUUAUGUUUGUUCCAUAUUUGAUUAGCUACUUUAUAACAAAGUACCAUACCAAUUUUAGCCAUUUUUUCUCCAUUCAUUUAGGUUAUUUUUUUGGAUAUGUUGUUAAGUAAGACCCAAUCUAACCCUAUGGAAAAUUAUUUUUUAAACUAAUUUUUUAUUUUAUAAAUUUAUUUAUCUUAAAAUAUUUAAAUUAAAGCAUUAAAGAAAUACUUUUUAGAAAUAAAUUAUGGUAACAUGAUUGUGUUAUAUAUAGUAGCUAACUACAAGCUGAUCAACAUGAUUUUACAUGCCUCUCCAUAUUUGACCCGAACCUAUACCCACAAAUUAGCAUAAGUUUAAAACCCCAAUAUAUUUAUAUGGAGUAUUGAUAGGUCAAUUUACAAAAUCUCUCAAAAUAAUUAAAUUUUAAAAUUAAACUGAUUUUAAAAAUUCUAUUUUGAUUAAAUAAUUAUUAAAAUAUUAAAUACUAAAAAAAAUAAAGGAUAAUUGUCAUUCUUACUUAUUGGAAAGAAAUCAUGUCUUCUUCAUUUGGGAAGAAAGUGAAAGAAGACCUAGGGAGGACCUACAAUUCAUGCCAUGGACCCGACACCUACCAUGACCAAGCAAUAAUGCCCAGAUGACUAAAUAAAGACAAGAAAACUAUAACGAAAGAGAAGAAGAAUAAAUAAAGGAUGAUAAGAAGAAUACAAGGACCGCAUCAGAAAGUAGUUCAUUUUCAAUUACAUCCCAGUGUCUCGAUGGGAACACUUUUUCCUCUCCAUGAUCAUUGUAAUGUACAAGGCUAGGCCUGGUAUUGAGCCUCCUGUGCCAUAGGAGAGACACAGGCCAUUUCUGCAGAAAGAGGCUGAGGAUAUUGGGGUUUAGAUCAACUCCUAUAAAGCCCAGUUGUUGUUUCCUAGACCAACUAGGAGCAUUAUUAACUUCUUGUGUACUGUGACAGAGUGAUCUUCCACAAGUCCAUCCGAUGACUAACCAUGUCCAAGACUAUGACUACAUCCAUGGUCCGAUAAGAGAGGUCAUUUGAGAAAAUCCGGGAGUAUUAUUUUGAGCAAAUGGCGACAAACAAUGACCCUCAAUACAAGAAGGCAGGAGGAUUUGAUGAUUAAGAUGCCAUAUUUUUACUAUUUAGGGUUUAGCGUUUACGAUUAUAUAGCAAACUAUAUAGGUUUGAUGCUAAAGGAUAUUGGAGACUUGCCACAUGUGAAGACAGCUGUGGAGAGCAGGCAAGCAAACUCCAAAUACAUGUAAUUCAUACCUGGCCAAUUGCUCUUAUGUGAUUGUAUGUGGGUGGAUAGAUUCUUAGUCCUAGCAUGACAGAAUUUGCCACAAACUAAAUGGUACCAAAGAGCCUCUUUGAUAAGAAGCAAAGUCUCAGAAUGAUGUUUGCAUCAAAUGAGUGAAAGAGUUUCAGAUAUGGUGGGUUAGAAGAGGGCCAAAAAAUUAAGGACAUUAUCCUAAGUCAGGCUUUUGGAUAAAGCGCUGCCGUGGUUAGUGUGGAGCCCUACUUUGUGGUAUUGGGGGCAGUGGAUAGUGGAGGUGAUCACAAAUGGUCUAUUUUUACAUCAAGAUGCAGAUUGCGUGGCAACAGAUCAUAGAGAAAGCGGGUGCGAGGUAGACUGGACCAUACUUGCACAUCAUCAAGAAUUGAUGGGACACUUAGAUGGGUGGGUAGUUGUACCUAGCAAGUAAAACCUCAUCAAAUCUCAAAGCCUUUAUCAUAUUUGCUUGAAUAAUAGUUUUUAUCUUACAGUGGUUAUUAGCUUUGUUCUUUUGUUUGCUAUGCAACCAAGCAUCUGAAUCCCAAAUACUGAUACACAGAACCCAUUUGCCUAAAAUGAAGACUUGCUUCAGGGAGUUAGAAGGGUGGCACAACUGAUGAAGGGUAAUGAUGGCUUAGCUGCACAAACCACAAGGAGGUAAUAAACUAAAUUAGGGUUGAUGGCCAUCGAGGUAUGGUAUUUGAUAUCCAAAUGCCAUUAACAUCAAGUCUAUAAUGGCUGAUCGAGGAAAAAUAUUCAGUGAGGGAAACAAUAGUUUUGGAGAACAGGGAGAACAGAAAUCAAUAUCAGGGAUGUCUUCGUGGAUCAUUAGCAAACAAUAGAUAGUUUCAGUUCAUGUGAAUUUAAUGACUUUAAGUCUUAUAUAGCCAUGUAUUUUUUGAUUGUAGGGGAGUGAUGGGUCCAAUGAGGCACCUCUACACCACAUCUAAGGAAGAUUGCCUUCUUGGUUCUCUCACAAACUGGAAUAUCUUUCUGCUGAUCUAUAGCAAAGAGCAAAAUCGCUUGGCCAGCAAGAGGCUGCAUGACUUGGUAUUCAUAUACUACAAUCAAGUACAUCAAUGAUUCAAGAUCAUCAAUGAGGGCAAAAAGAAGCAUGAUAUGGCCCACUAAAGGAUGACUUUGCCCUCGACAAGGAUGAUCCUAUGAUUAGAUGGGUUGCUGAUCAAUAAACUCGUGACUAGCUAGUGUUAGAUGAGCUAGGGAAAUCCUCCAUGACUAGAUAGAGCCAUUGCAAAGGUAGGUGUUUGAAACACAGAAAGAUGAGUGGAGGAGAAUGUUUCACUCAGUUGAACACCCAACUGUCUGAAGAGGCUUCAAUCAGUAGCUUGAUCAUAGGAUUUUCAGGAAAUUAGGGAGUGAUACACAUGCCUCCAAGGCUAGUCAAGGCACAUGGAUCACUAGCAAGCUAGGGCAAGGAAGGGCACAAGGAAACUUGGUCAAGCCAAAUCAGUUUCAUAAUGGUAGCAACAAAGGAAAAUCAAAAUGAGAACAUGUAAGUCAAUCCAGUGGAUGCAACUAAAAACAUAUUGGUCCAAGACAAUGAUGACAAGACACCGAAGCCAUCAAAUCCCAGCUUGGGUAGAUCAUCUCGCGAUAAUGACGAUAAUCAAGAUCUGUCAUACCGCCUCAUACCACCCGAUACAAGGCGUACCGUACCGUAUUGAAAGAAAACUGGUACAAAACACACCUUCAUGUCAGUACAAGUCUCGUACCGCUCAUAUCAAGGCGUACCGAGGUACGUACCGGUCCAUACCAAGAAAUACCGAGAUAAAUAUUGAGAAAAAUAAUUAGAAACUCUCGAUAUAGAGGUAUGUCAUACUGUACCGAACCAAUAAAGUAACGAUACGGUACAUGGUAUCGAAAUUGCGGACCUUGGCGAUAAUGAUAAUGAUAGCUUCGGUGAUAAGUCUAAAGGUUAGAAUGCACAAGGUGGUUAGGACGGAGGUGAUUUCUCAGAGUUUUGAUCUAUUCACCAGUAAGGCAAGAUUCAUGUGUGCCACACAAGCUGCUGACCAUGGGGCUAGAUCAAAAUACAAUCAUAAGAAAGACAUCAUACAAGAGAAGUUCCAAAACUAGUAUCGGAUGCAACAAAAGGUAGCAUGGAAGACUCGAGAGCUUUUAUGCGAAUUGGAGGGAGUGGAUACUAGAGAAAGAUCUACCAAAGCGUUAGAUAGCCAUGGGGCUCAGCAAACUUCAUCUAUACUAGAGGUAAAUCUCCUGUUGCAUCUAAUAGAGUGGAUAGUAUGCUCCAUACACAUAUGAUUGAUAUGCAUACUUUCAGCCAUCAUACCAUAGUAGAGACGACCCUAUACAACAUUGCCCCUCCUAUAGAUAUGGGUAUACUCACAAUCCUACCACCCUGAGUAGGGAUAGUUGGGCUCCUAUGACUACCUGACAUACACACAACUUCAGUAGCAAGAGGCAUAUCUAGGUUACUAUUAGCCACUAUAUGACUAGCAGAGAUAGGAUAAUAUCCAAACUAUUAUCAGAUCUAAGCUCCAGAUUGUGAAUAACACACAAAUAUAGAUGAGGACCACAAAUGCUCGACCCAGGAUUGAAAUUUGAAAAUGAGUCAUUCUUGAUUGUUCUAUUACAAUAUUAUACAUUAUUUGCCAUUUUUUUAACUUAUUGUUGCAAUUUUUUUAAAUCUCGUCGAGUCCACGAGUAUUGGAACUGGCACCGAUACUUCGACAUCACACACCCCGUUAAACAUCACUAAUUCAUUAAAAAAGCAAAUCAAAAUUCACUUCAUAUCCAUAUUACAUAUCAAAAGAUAAAAAAUUGAAAAUAAAAAAAUAAAAAAUUUGUGCCUCAGUAUUGUGCUGGUACAAAACCCUACCAUAAGUUGGUAUAGGAAUAUUAUUCUAGUUCGAUAAUAAAUAUAUACCACCCUUAGUACCAGCGUUCGAUUUCUUAGCAGUAUGACUGUUGCAGCUCUAUAAGAUCAAAGGGUACAAUAGGCUGAAAAAAGCACUAGCUAGCAGCUAAAAAGAGGUUAAAAAGAGUAAGAAGGUAUCCCAACAACAUAAAACAAGCCAUGAAGAUUAAUAUCUGUCAAAGUUACUUUCAGCUUGUCCUCAAUCUUCUUGCACACUUCUAAUGAAAGAAAACAAAAAUGGGGAUGUUUAAUCCUUUUAGCUCAGUAUCAACCAAUACCAAAUGCCAUCCAUCAUGUAAAAUUAACAAAACUCAAUACAAGGUAUCAUCAUUCAAUAUCGAGCAACUUGCUUAGUAUCUUAAAUUGAUCCACUACCAAGUGUAAGUUAGCCUAGCGCAAUGGACGCCAACCACAUGGUCUUUCAACAGAAGCAUCUAAACAAAUGUGGGAUGAAUAUAUAUGUAUCCUUAGUUUUGAAGGUUCCAGUCGAUCUUGUGGUUUACUAACCCUUGAUGUGGUCCGAAUGCAACAAUUAAAUAUAUUUGCACACAUGGUUAAUUUAGAUGAUUUCCAUCUACACUACUAGUGUAGAUUAAACAGUUCAAUUAAUAGCAAAUCCUCCAUAAUAUCAAAAACUAAUUUAUUUGUUCAAACUCAUAUGUGCUAGGUGAUAACCAAUCUCCUAACCUUACAUAUUUUCAUAACAUGAUGUUCUAAAAUAUUGAUCAUGAGGAUUUCAGCAGGUAGAAAUAAGCUUUCAUCUUAUGCAUGAUAUGCUAAAUUAUUAUUAGAGCACUACAGAAUAUUGCUCACCGGGGAUGGGAACCACAUCAUUGCCUUGAUGAAGUAUCCAAGCUAGAGCAAGCUGAGCAGGGUUACGACAAUGCUUCAUGGCCAACUUCUCUAGUCGUGCAUAUAAUAUCUUGUUCUUUUCUAAGUUAUCUCCAGUGAAUCUAGGAUGUAAAGCCUAACAAAAAUAUUGAGGUAUAAUUAAUCAGUGGAAUUCAUUUUCAUAUAUGGAGGAAUUUAGCAUCUUAAGGAUGGAAAAGUUUGAAUUUUAUCCAAACAACAAGGUUAAUUUAAAAAGUCAAUUAAUCAAUUUCUUACCAAGUAACUUUGAGAUGGCAAACUUUCUACAACUGCUCUUCCCCCAAAAAACCCACGACCCAGAGGACUGUAUGGAACUAUCCCAAUGCCAAGUUCCCUGGAUGUAAAAGAAACUUUAUUUCUUUAAAUUGUGGUGCAGCAAAUUAACUAUUUUAGAGAAAGGAGACAUAACGAAAGCUCCAUAACUAUGAGUCUACAAUUAUUCUAAACAGAGGGAAAAAAAGAAAAAUUCACAAUCACUCAAGAUUUACUGACCCUUCUCUUCAAACAAGAUUGAUUAACCUUGAAAAAAAAUCACAAAUACUCACUCCCACCCAUAUAUUUAACUCAACCCAACAAAAAAGUCAAAGACAUCUGCAGAAGUCCAUGUACCAAGAAAACAGGCAGUCUUCUGAUCCAUACCUCUUGUUAGCAGGAAAUUUCUAAUCAAGUUUCUAAGCAGACAUAGUAUAAAGUUCAUCAUUUUAUAUGCUUUCAAAUGUAAAAUGUUAAAAGGGUAUUAUGCAUAUCUUUCCCCACGUGAAACUUUCAGUUAGUAAGUCUUUUUCCAAGACCUUGCAACUCUUUGGUGUUUAUCUGCAAGUAGCAAAAAGAAAGAAAAGGAAUCUUAUAGAAACUUCUCUUACCAUUAAAAUUUUAAGUAAGCAUUUAGGUUGCAAAAGUUUAGGAUUCGUUGCACCUUGAUGCAAGCCAACAUCCCAAAGAGAUAUGGCGAUAUAUGAAUGGGGACGAAGGAGAAGUUUUAGUAAUUAUUCACCAGAACGUAGGAAUAACUUAUUAAAAAUCCAUAAAAUCAAGGUUUGCUGUGCCGAAACCGGAAUCCGGACUGGUUAUCCGGCGGCACGGGUCGGUACGCCCCCAUACCGUUCCAUGCUGGGUCCAUACCAUUCCAUGCUGGGCUCGUACUAACACAGUAGAGGAGGCGAGAAAGAGAGAGAACGAGAGAAGAAAAGCAAGAGAAGAGGGAGAGAGGAAGGGAGACAGAAAGAGGGUGGCAGAGGCCGGCAGAGGGAAAGGAAGGAAGAGCGGAGGCUGGCGAGCUCUCUCUUCCUUCCUCUCCCUCUCCCUCCUUCCCCCACUUGCUCUCUUUUUUCCUCUCUUUCCUUCUCCUCCUCCGCGCGCUGGCCGGUCUCUGCUCUUCCUUCUUCUCCCUCUCCCUCCCUCCCCCGCUCGCUCUCUCUCUCUUUUUCUCUCUUUCCUUCUCCUUCUUCCCCUCCAUCGAAUGCUUUUCAUUUUGGUUGCCGGACCAUCCAAAUCCGCCGCCAACACGGCUUGGUAUUCUUCGAACCGCCUGGUUCGGGACGAUUCCGCUGACCUUGCAUAAACAGUGGAUAAACUCAUUCCCAAAUUUGAAUUCAUUAUUCCUCUAAUUGAAUCUUUUCGCAAAACCCUUACAACAAUACAUAAAGACACAAAAAUAAUUCUAGACCAAAUUUUAUUGAACUAAAAAAGAAAGUGGAACUCUUUCCUAGGUCUAAAAAAAGUAACAUAUCCUGAAAUACUCUAUAUUCACAAUUGAAAUAUACUAGAAAUAUAAGUAUGUUCUAUCCUCUACAUGAGUACCGAGAUCUAUGAUUGGAACAUAUGAUAGGAUCUCCCUCUUUUGCAAUAUUUUUUAUGCUGAUUUGUUCAUGAUAUAUUUAUUGAGGAGCUUUCAUCAGAAGGCUUUAGAAAGAUGUGUUCUUUCCUUCAAUGGAUAUUUGAAGAUUCAACAAAUCAAUAAAACAUAUGCCUCAGAGUUGCCUGUUUUAGAUUUUCCACAUAAAGUUCUCUCUUCCUUCUAUUGUUGUUUAUCAACUUAUGCAACCUAACAACCAUUUGAAAAUUACUGCACUUUUAAAGAUAAAUUUUGGACUCAAUGCUACAUAUGUUUUCUCAAGACAAAACAAAAAAAAUGAAAACUUGCAACCACAUGGCAAUCAUUUUAGGUUUGGAAUUUCAAGUAUACCUGCAAAGUGGGACAAUCUCCUCUUCGAUUUCACGAGUCCAUAAAGACCACUCCAUCUGCAACGCAGUGAUGGGAUGCACUGCAUGAGCACGCCUAAUUGUAUCUGGACUGGCCUCAGACAAUCCAAUGUAUUUGACCUUCCCCUCUUCCACCAACUUUUUGAGCUCCCGCAUCUACCUCCCGCGGAAACCCCAAAAAUAAAAAGAAAUAAAAAUUCAAAUCCAUCUAUCCAUUAACUUAACCAACAAGAAUUCUGAAUUGACUGCUUACAGUUUCUUCUAUAGGCACCAACUUGUCCACCCGGUGCUGGUAAUACAAAUCGAUGUAAUCUACACCAAGCCGUUCAAGGCUCGCCUCGCAGCUUGCCCGGACAUAUUCCGGAUUGCCCUUCACAAUCACCCCAGUCUGAUCAACCCCCGCAAUACCAAAUUUUGUGGCCAAUUGGACCUUCUCGCGGGGCAAUAGCUUCAAAACCUACAGAAAGAAUCGAUCUUUCUUACUUUCUGUCCAUUAACAAUCAAUCAAUUCCUCUCUCUAUAAAUCAAUUUCAACGAAAUAUUGAAGAGAAAAAAGAGGCGAAAGGGGAUAGAAUUGAACCUUUCCAAUCAAGAUCUCAUUAGUAUGGGGUCCAUAAGCAUCGGCGGUGUCAAAAAAGGUGAUUCCUUCGUUGAAUGCGUGCUUGAUGAUGGAAAUCCCGGCUUCUUCGGGGACCGGAGAGUUGUACACUCCGGUAAGGCUCAUGCACCCGAACCCCAGCUUGGAAACCUGGAAAAAAGCGAAAGGAAUCAGCACCAAGACCACCAUAAGAACAAAGAGGAAAAGAAGAAGAGAAAUCGAGAAGGGGAUUGAGACCUCCAAGCCCUGGCUUCCCAACUUCACUCUGGGGAUAUGGGGCUUGCUCGGCUCCUCCAUAUGUUGUCACCUGGAUCUCUCUCUGAUCGCUGCGCGUUAAGAAACGUCGGUGGGAGACUGGAAGUGCGCCACCAAGAGGAACACCCACCCCAUGGUGGUAGCUUGGAUGAUCAUGCCGUGCGUCAUGGAAGGGGUGUUGGUUGCGGGAAAUGGCCUGGCAGAAGACCGCACAACUAAGGCCCUGUUUGGGGAGCUUUUGGAGGGCCAUCGCGAUCCUCUGUCCGGUUCCUUCAUAUUAGGAUUGAGGCUGAAGUUAUAUCUCACAUUCCCUUUCCCUAAAAAAAAAAUUCAUCCUCGAAAUUUAACAUACCUUAGCUUGCAAAAAGAUCCGGAUAUUUUUUCUUCAUCUCAUCCUUCAAUACCCAUAUAGCCUCAUGUUCUGAAUGAUUGCUCCACUGGAUCUUGACAUAAGAAAUUGUGCGCCUUCUUAAUACUUGUUCCUUUCUAUCAACCACACGUAUAGGCUGCUUAGGAUAUGUCAAAUCUUCUUUAAGCCGCAAGAAGGCCACUUCUAUAGGGGGUCUUAGAGAUUGGUGUGGUACCAGGAAUUAAAUCAAUUGCAGAUUCAAUUUCUCUAUCUGGUGGCAAGCCAGGGAGGUCUUCCGAAAAGACAUCAGAGUAUUCAUUCACUACUCGGAUAUCUUCCAAUCUUUGAUCUGAUUGUCUGGUAUCAACUACAGUGGCAAUAUAUGUCAUACUCCCCUUCCUGAGUAGCCGCUUAAUUUGCAUAGCAGAGACAAUUCGAGGGAAAGUAUAAGCACCACUACCUAUGAAGCUGAAUUCAGUGUCUCUAGGGAUCUGAAAGUUUACCCUUUUUUUAUGGCAGUUAAUGGUAGCAAAAUGUGAUGCUAACCAGUCCAUACCGAGAAUUAUGUCAAAGUCAUGCAUAUAUAUAACUAUUAAGUCAGCAGGCAAGUCUCUACCUACUAUCUGAACUGGACAAGUCUUGCAGACCUGAUUACCAAUCAUCCCACUCCGGGUAGGAGUGCUAACAUGCAAAUCAUACUUUAAUUGCACACAAGGCAGGUCAUGUUUUUGCACAAAUGUAGAUGACACAAAGGAAUGCGUAGCACCAGAAUCAAAUAGUGUAUGAGCAUAAACAGAAGCAACUGGCAAUGUACCUGACACCACAGUGUUGGAUGCCUGAGCAUCCUGCUGAGUAGUGCAUAAAUACGACCCUGUGUGUGCGGUUUUCCUCCUGUCUGCUGCUUAGGAGAAGAAGACUGAGCAAACUGAACCGGAGCAGGAGAACCUUGCACUUGCUAGGUCCCUAUAGCUUGAGGCCUCUGAACUAACCGAUGGUCCUGUUGAGGACACUUAGCUACCUUAUGACCCUGCUGGCCUCAUCUGAAGCAGGCGCCGGAUAAUCGUCUACAAUGUUCAGUCUUAUGCAUACCACAUGCAUCACACUUAGGCUUGACUUGCUAAUGCUGAGUAGUCUUCUCAUAGAAUCUCUGCUCCCCUGAUUGCCUGGGUUGGUUAUGAGAUUUUGCAGUCCUGCAGGAAUUCUGUCCACUAUGAGUAUCAUCAUCUCUGCUCCUCUUCUUUUGUAUUCUAUCUUUUGUAUCUUGUGUUUCUUUCCAGACAAUGUCCAGAUUUUUGGCCCUGUCUACCAAAUCAUCAUAGUUUGUUGAGUGUACUAUGGCCAAACCCCGACGUAAGUGAGGCUUCAAUCCUUCUUCAAAUCUCCUCAUCCGGGACUCUGCAUCCAUGACGAGGGUGGGAGCAAACCGAGAUAGCAUGUCAAACUCUGCCUCAUACUCAUCCAUAGUCAUAGUUCUUUGAUUCAGAUUGAGAAAUUCCCUCUCUAGCUCCCUCAGGCGACUGGAGGGAAAAUACUUGGAGUAGAAUGCUGUGCGGAAUCUCUGCCAGGUAAGUGCCUUCUGCUCGGGUGCCAAUGUGCGCUCCACAAACAUCCACCAAUGAUGAGCUCGGUCAUGAAGCAUAUAGGUGGAAAAUCUAACCUUCUCUUCAUUGGUGCACUCCAUUGCCCUGAAGGCUUUCUCCAUUUCAUCUAUCCAGGCUUCGGCCUCUUGAGGACUAGUGGUGCCUUUAAAAGCCGAAGGAGCCAUUCUUUUGAAUUCUGCUAUACUCCUUCUUUGCUCAGGAGGAGCAACAUCUUACUAGAUGGGUUGAUGAGGUUGUUGCCUCUGUUGGCGUACUAACCCAACGACCUCCUCAAUCAAUUCGAGCACCCAAGUUUGAUUUCCAGCGGCAGUUUCUAGAGUUGAUUGGCCCUGGGGCCCUGAGCUAUGCGAUGCCUCGCCUGCUUGGCUAGUAGGGACUUUUUUCCGAGAGCCCCCAACCAUCUUAUUCAAGCUACAGACACGGCGAGACGGCAUUCUAAUUCAGUGAAAAUAUAUAAAUAUUAUAAAUUUAUCCAAACAGAAUAAUACAUGAUAGUUAACAAAACAAAUGAACAUUAUCCUCUUAUCUAGUUCCUACCCAUCUCUCAACCUUUCCGAUGAAUUGUAGGAAUCCUAAAAUUCAGGCUCAAAUAUGAUUGUUUCACUUAUGGUCCCUAGUGAUUUUAACUUGAGCUCUGAUACCACCAAAUCUGUCACGCCCCAAGCCAGAAGCGCGACAGACACCGCACGCCCGCACGGCGGGCCGCACAGGUGUGCAAGGCAUUGGAAUAUAUCGGAGCAAAUACAGAUGUUCAAAACUUAUUUAAGGGUUAAUCACAGAUGCUUGAAAUUGACAUAAAUAAUUAAAAUCAUUCAAAAGCAGUCUUACAAAAUUCCAAAAUAAUAUUUGCUAACAUAAUUCAAAUGUCCAAACUAAUCUAUCUAAAAUGCCAAUAACUAAAGAAAUUAUCGAAAAAUCUAACGCACUCCCCAAUCCCGUGCGAUCAAGCCUCUGGAUCUGAAAAACAGAGAAAAUAAAAUAAUAAGCUACACUAGUCCAGUAAGCAACAAAAUACCCCAGAGUGGGAUCAAAGAUCGAAAUACAAAAUAAUGAUUGGGAAUAAAUCACAAAUAACAUCAUUUUUCUCUUUUCAAAAUUUAUCAUCAUUUCCACAAAAACUCUGAUACAGAAAUCCCAGCAUAUGUAGGCUACGGCCACGAAACCCAGUGGCAUGGGUUGCACAAAGUGCCAAACACCACUAUUUUCAGCACCGGUGGUACAGUGUCCAAAUACCACUAUUCUAAUCACCGGUGAUACGGUGUCCAAAUACCACUAUUCUAAUCAUCGAUGGUAUGGUGUCAAAACCGGCUCCUCAUAGAUUACAAGUCGACAGAUCCAACGUAUAAUCCCCAUUGGCAGGGCCAGAACAAAACAGAACAGGUCAUAGCCAUGCUGAGAAUGCAUAUAUCCAAAAAUAGAUUUCAUAAAUUGUCCAACUAUAUUUUACGGAUUUCAAAGCAUAACAUAGUUUUCAAAUAAAAUUUAACAUGCCUUACCCAUUUUACUGAAUACAAAAUAUAUGUCAAAAUUUAAUCAAUUUAUCAAAUAAUUUGCAAAUCACACUUGAAGUAUUAAGUUACUUACCUCUUCUCGCUUAAUUCCUACUUCAGGUAGGCGGAUCAGGUUCACGUGUUAAUAUUUAAUUAAUUUUUCUAUAAAUUUCAGAGCUAAGCAAAAUCCAAAAAUAAUACUACUGGACACGGCCCAAUAGGGCCCCCAAGAUUGGCCUCUAAUUGGUUUAUUUAUACAAUAAAAAUUCAUUUUAGGGGCCAAUACCUAAUUAUAUAGUACUAUUUCUUAAUAAAGCUUGAGUAAAAGGACCAAACAAAUAUAGUUAAGGACCUUUAUGAAAUGAAUCUUUCUUUUAGGGAUCAAACAUAAAUUACAGAAGAUCCUUCUGUAAAAUAACAUACUGUCAAGGGCUUAACUGCAAAAUUCCAUUUAUUGGCCAAAUGGGUUCGGAUUUCGGGUUUGGGGUUCCGAGUUUCGGAUUUUGGGUUUCGGGUCUGAACUGGAUUUUGGGUUCGGAUUUUAUAUUUUGAAUUCGGGUAUGGGCCCACAGUGAACCGGGCCUAAGUUGGCUCAGUUCGGCCCACGAUGGGCCUUCAUCUUCCCCAAACUCCCCAUGCAUAGGGGAGAUGGAAACCGAGAGAGGAAGGGAAGAUCGGCGGGGUGGUCGGCCUGGGUGGCCGGCCUAGGUGGCCGGGGGCCGUCGCCCGAUCGACGGCCAGCUNNNNNNNNNNNNNNNNNNNNGGGGUGGUCGGCCUGGGUGGCCGGCCUAGGUGGCCGGGGGCCGUCGCCCGAUCGACGGCCAGCUGACCACAGCGGCAGCCGGUGGUCGUUGCGGCGACGGGCAUGAAGACAACCGAGCAUGGUCUCGGUUUGGGGCCAAAACAAAGGGAAGAACUCGAGGACGUUUAGCAGCGGAACAAAGAGAAAAAGAAGGGGCUUACCGGCGGUCGAUGGAGGCGGUGGAUCUCGGCCAAGGGAGGGUCGAUCCGGUGUCAAGCGGCGGCGGUGGCGGCACUUUCCAAAGGGGAAGUGGAUCCAGAAACAGGGAAAGGCCGCGAGGGGAUUCGGAUGGUGCUCGGCCGGAAGAGCACGUCAGUCACUCGGGAGGCAAGAACAGAGAAAGGAGAGGGAGAGGAGAGGGAGGAGAGGAGCUCGGUGGUGAUCUGGGAAGGAAAAGAGGGGUUUUUAUCAUCCCCUCGUAACGGCUCUCCGCCGUGAAAAUCGCAGCGGUCGAGCGUGAUCCGCGGCCGUGAGUGGCCGCGGUUUGACCGAAGGGGGGUGCCGCGGGAUGCCCGCGGCUCCUUUUCCCAUUUGUUCCCGGAGGAGCUGGAGAGGAUCGCCAUCGCGAUCCUCUGUCUUGUUCCUCCCCAGCCGACUUCAGCCCCUUAUCUCACAAUUCUUCAUCUUCCUUUCUAUACUAUUCUAGUGUGCUACAUAUUCUUUUAAUCCCACACGUACCCGCUCUCUCUGGUUUGCUUGUCUCUGAAGGAAUUUGAUUUGUUGAGUAAUGGAUAAGAAGUUAUAUCUAUAGUUAAAUAGAAAACAACAGUUAGUAUAGAGCUGAAGUUAUAGUUCCCCAACAAGGGCAAAGAGGAGGAUUUCUCAAAAUUAGCACAAUCUGUUCUUAUUUCACUAUAAACUACAAGAGAGGAAAACAACGAUUUCAAAAGACUAGAGUUUGGCACUUAUUGGCGAUCCAUCAAUUUCAGUCAUUAAUGCAUGAUAACUGUGUAACACCCCUCAAAGAUCAUCGUACUGAUAGAGAUAUUGAUGAUCAACAUCAUAAUUUAUUAAAUACUUCAGAAGUUGGCUGGGACUGCUCAUCCAGGACGAGCAUAUACAACUCAUUGAAAGAAACCAUACGCAUUGAUCACAUAUACUGAUACCCAAAACUAAACAACAUAACAAGCAUAAUAGAAGUUUAUUUAGCUUUCCCAGUGACAGGGAGACAUGGAAGACAGGAUUGACGAACAAAGCCAACUCUAUCUUCAGCAAGUUCUAGCCAGCUACUGCUUUGGGGUUUUGGUUGCUAGGCAGUGGUGUAUUAGCGAACUUCCAUGAGCAACUAGUGAAGAGAUCAAUAUCCCUCUCACCACCAACCUCCUUGAUUGGCACUGCCGCUGAAACUUCUUUCAGGUCUUUGUCAGAUAACUUCACUUUCAAAGACCCAAUAUUGGCAUCUAGAUGCUUGACUUUUGUUGUACCUAAUACAAAAUCAAAUAAGCACCCCAAAAAUUAGGCAAUCAUACAGUUAGCAGCACGAGAGCUAAUUUAUGACAUUGUUUUCUAAGGAACCUAUUAUAUAUUUAGACAUUAAGAAAACGUUAUAUAGAAGUUGUCCUUCUUUAAUGUUUAUCUCUUUGAAUGCAAUUGCAUGUUAGCAAAUACAAUUACAAAGAGUUUUUCCCCGUAGUCUCAUUGAAGGUAAUAUAUCUGGAUAUCCAAUCAAGAAUUAUAGAAACCAUUGACAAUGUAUUCAAUGAUCAAACUCGUCCAUCAAACAGGAGUAGGAAAACUGUGUAUUUUUACUCCCUGUUAUGACGGUCUUUUAAACUAGAUCAGAUGUGAAUACUUACAGUUGCUGCACUCCUAACAAAGUUUACAAGGUGUCUCAUUAAAAAGAUGAAGAAAAAAAAAGAAAAUGUUUGUACAGUGGGAUCAAUCAAAGUAAUAAUAGAAUGGUAGAACGGUAUUAUAAUGGUUGGGUUUAACAGAUUUGCUGCUUUCUAUUUUUUUAACUCUUCUCCAAUAUUUUAAAAAGGCAUUCUCUUGUUUGUCUGUCUAAUAAAUGUACCCUAUAGCAUCCAUUAUGAAUCUAAGCAAUGUUCCAAAAGACUGGUAUUAAAAGAAAUGAUAUUGAGCAUUGAUCAGGGCCUAAAAAAUAAUGGAAGUUGUCUUGGUUUUUUGUUGACUUAACAAUGUUAUGUUUAGAUCUCUGAAGUGUUUUAACCAGGAAAGAUGGACUUCAAAUGUGAUCCAUUAUCAAAUUGGGUGCUGUCGCUUGCUUUUCGCUCUCUUUCUACUUAAAUCUUCAGUAAAGGUGAAUUCUGUGUCUCUGCCCACCUCUUCCUAUUCUUUUGAUGACACCACUUCUAAGUUGAAUGGAGUGUUCAAUUUUGAAAACAAUCUGUGGUUACAAGGCUUAAGAAAUCUUGUCAUGGUCUGGUCACUUAUGCCAACUCAAGAGGAUAGAAAUGAUUUCUUCUGAAGAUGAUUGUUGGGAUUUCAUCUGGUAAGCAGCCCUUGCAUCAUGCUGAUUAUGCACAAUUCUCAUAAUUUAUCCACAUUCAUUUUCUUCUAACCAUACAGAACCUAACUAGUUUCUCCAAGUAGUGAAUAUGGUGAUCAUUAGAAAACACUAUGUACUGCUAUUGAAUUAUCUGAUUGAAAGUAGCACCUGUCCUAAAUAUAUUUGAAUCGUCAGUUUGGUGGGUGUCAAGGAAAAAAAUGUGCUUAGAGGUAAGAGAACAGUUGUUAGUGAUUCUAUUGUGCAUCAUAAGACAACAGAAUCUAAUAUAGAAAUCUUUAUAAUUUUCUAUUUUAUCUACGUUUAGUCAUGUUUCUGAUAUGCAUUAUGAGAAUUAUUAUUAAUUGUUUCUCUUCCAGUCUUGGAAGCUAUAAAAGCUAACAGAGUGCUUGUAUCUUUGAUUAUGGCCCACAGUUUUUUGCUCUUCCUUUAUUUCAUUGUUCAUCAAUCUAUGCUGAAACUCAUACCAACAUUUGACAAUCAAAAACCUUAUCUUCAUAAUGUUAAUUAGAAGCUUCAACAGUGAAUCACUACAACGAUUAUCUAUUCUGCUUUUGAGAAGAUAUUUAUGUAUUCAACUCAACACAAAAUCUUCUAAAUUUCCUUUUUUCUCUUACAAGAUUCUUUUUGACUGGAAUUCAUUUAUUUUUCCUUCAUUCUUCGGCAAACAAGUAAAGACCUUGAAUUGAUCAGAUUUACAAGAUUAAUUUAUUUUUUGCAGCCAUGAUGUAAGCUCAAGAAUAGGUUACAAGUGCUAGCUGAUUUUCUUUUCAUUAAUUGCCAUAUUUGAGUCAUUUGCAUGCAAACUUGCUGCAAAAAUAAAAUCCCCAGCCUCUAAUGAAGGAUAAAAAACAGUUACCUGGGAUAGGUACCACAUCUUCUCCCUGAUGGAGGAGCCAAGCCAGGGCUAGUUGAGGAGGAGUGCACCCAUACUUGGCAGCCAGUUUUGCAACGCGCAUGUAUAUGAUCUUGUUCUUGUCUACAUUCUCACCAUUAAAUCUUGGAUUGAGGGCCUAUUCACAAUCAAAUUAGUGCAUAGUGAAUAAAGCAGUACCUUUUAGUAUGAAAGAAUAUUGAAUCAUUUAACAGAGUUCUGUUAGCCAUGUCCAUACCAGUAUACUUCCUUCGGGCAAUCCUUCCGUAUUGGCUCUUCCAGCAAAAAAACCAUGACCAAGAGGGCUGUACGCAAUUACUCCAAUACCCAGUUCUCUGCAUGAACACAGCAUUACAAUACAGACAUGGUUUGUCUCAAAACAAAUGUAUUAAUGGUUAGGGAAAUUCUUAGGGACAUAUAUAAAGGGUACCUUAUUUUCAGCUAACUUCUUUCACCAGUAAUAUAUAGAAUAUGUGACUGUUUUUUUUCAACUAUAUAGUUGUGUAAAAGCAAGAAUUAGCUAUCAUUAUUAUCAGUUAUCUUGGAUCUGUUUGCCUAUCCUUCUAGAGAGAGAGAAGGAGACAGGUAGGGAGAGGAGCACUAGUUCAUGAAUGGCAGCAUAGAAGAGUUCAGUUGAACAAACUUGCAAAGGGGGAUUAUUUCAUCCUCGAUAUCACGAGUCCACAAAGACCACUCCAUUUGCACUGCAGUGAUGGGAUGAACAGCAUGAGCACGCCUUAUGGUGUCUGGACUCGCCUCACACAGACCAAUGUACUUGAUCUUCCCUUCCUCGACUAACUUCUUUAGUUCACCCAUCUAUCUCAUAAACGAAGUUCUUAAUCAAAUCAGUCAUAAACUAAGAUGAAUCUCAGAAAGCUCUGUCAAUUGCAUUCGGUACUUACAGUUUCUUCUAUGGGAACCGUAGUGUCUAUGCGGUGUGGGAAGUACAAAUCAAUGUAGUCAACACCAAGGCGUUGGAGACUUCCUUCACAACAUUUGCGUACAUACUCAGGUGCACCUUUGAUCAGCAGCCGCCCAUUUUCAAAACCAGCGAUGCCAAACUUGCUUGCUAUCUCAACUUUUUCUCGAGGUAAUUGCUUCAAAGCCUAAAAGUUAAGAAGGCACUAGCUAAAGUGAAUUAUGACUGAAAGUGUCACGCCCUAAGCCCGAGGCGCGGUAGACGCCGCACGCCCGCAUGGUGGGCCGUACAGGCGUGCAAGGCAGCUGAUCAUAUCGAAGCAAAUAUAGAUAUUUAAAGAUGACAUAAUUAUUUAAGUUGGUCACAAGCAGCCUUACAAAAUUUCAAAAUAUCAUAUGCCAGCAUAAUUCAAAUGUUCAAGCUAAUCUAACUAAAAUGCCAAUAACUGGACGAAUCAUCGAAAAAUUUAACGCACUCCCCCAAUCCUGUACGAUCAAGCCUCUGGAUCUGGAAAAAAAACAGAAAACAGAAUAAUGAGCUACACUAGCCCAUAACCUAUGUGGACUAGGGGACACUGCAGCACGGAUCCAUUGGGGCUGACCACGGGCCAAUCGUGGUGUUUGUGAACCCUUAACCUGACAAGGACGUCAAGGCUUGAACGGGGGGAUAUGUGAGGAUCCGUGCAGGCGUGUGUUUAGUCUUACANNNNNNNNNNNNNNNNNNNNNNNNNNNNNNNNNNNNNNNNNNNNNNNNNNNNNNNNNNNNNNNNNNNNNNNNNNNNNNNNNNNNNNNUUUGGGUGAGAUUCUGGGUUGUUACAGAAAGAGUAUCCAUCAUCUUGAAUGAAUUACCAAACGCUUCAAUUAUUUGAAAAUAAAUAAAAAGCCAGCAUUCAUGAGAUUAUGGAAAGAGAGCUUUGCUUAAGGCAUGUAAAGUCCUACAUAUUUCGUAUAUAUGAUUAUUCUCUUGUUUUUUUUCUGAUAGCAGUUGAGCAAGUAUCCGGUAAAUACAUUCUCAAAUCCCUUCUCUUUAAGAAAUUAAGAGUUAUCUUUUUCCUUGAGUUAAACCAUAGAAUAUUCUUCUCUCCAAAAAUUUAAAAAAAAAAUGAUAGCCAACCUCUCUUGCCUUGAGGACAAACUUUAUUUGCUAGUUGCUGGUUAUUACUCCUACUAACACUAGUUCACAAAUACUGACAUCUACCGGUAUGUUUCCAACAUCUCAAAACAGCUAGCUUCUCAAUCAGAAAGGUCAUAUGAGUAGCCAAAAUGGCUCACAUUGAAGUAACAGAUUUAGUUCUUAGGUUUCAUUGGCAAAGAGCACUCUUGAGAGGUCUUAACUCUUCAUCAAUGGAUUUAAGAACUAACGAAGGUCAUAUCAUGCAGAAUACUACUGUUUGUGGAUUAUAGAACUUCACACUAAUCAGUGUAGUGAACCAAAACUUUGAGUCCCAAGAGAAAAACACAGACCUUCCCGAUAAGGAUUUCGUUGUCUCCAUCGGCAUAAGCAUCAGCAGUGUCGAAGAAUGUCACCCCCUUAUUGAAGGCAUCGAUGAUGAGGGAGACACCUUCUUCAUGGGGAAGGGGAUGGUUGAAUAUCCCAGAGAGUCCAGAGCACCCAAAACCCAUCUUGGAAAUCUGUUACAAAGAUGAAGCUUAAGAUUUAGCGUAACAGAUAGCCAUUGAAGCUUGAAAUUAAUACGGACAUAACUAUUAGGCUAUAUUGGCUCCUUUUACUCAAUAUAUGUCUAUACCACACAAACAAAGAUGAAGAUUAAAAUUAAUAAGGAUCCCAACUAUUAGGCUAUAUUGACUCCUUUUCCUCAAUAUGUAUAUAUAGGAGUAUGUUUACAUUCUGAUAUCAUAGUCAGUUAAGUAAUUAGGGUACUACCAGUUUCUGAUUGUUAGGACUAGUUUGUGAAUACUGAAUAUCUAUAAUAUUAUGUGGAGCAUUUUCUCAAGCAAUUCAUGUUUGCUGAUAAUUGCAAAAAGAUUCCAUAAAAACUAACUUGAGGCAAGUGACAAUAACCAAACAUCAGUUAAAGAAUAAAGUAAAAAAGAUAAAGGAUAUUUUAUACUUAAAUUGAAAAUAAGUUACGCAUUAGUAGUUGGAUUUUGCAAGAAGAAUGCUAACAGUCACUUGGCAAAAAACAAUCAUUCUAUCCUACCGAAAGAAGAAUUCAGAAACAUACUGAACAUAGCUGCUGUUAAGUGACAUGAAUGAAGUAACUAAUAUAUUAAACAAGUCCAUUAAAAGGACAAAAACACAAGAAAGACAAGGAUGAGUUUGUGAGGCAUUACUAUACGUUCCUCAUGGGUCAGUUUUCAAGGCAUUAUCCUUUUUUGAGCAAAGCUUUUGAGGCAUUAUCAUGCAUUUCAUUGUUUCUUCUCAAAAAGAUAACACUUAUUGUGUGGAUUUUAUACAUAGCCUGAAUGGAAUUGUUUGCUUUCUCAAAAGAGCAAAACAAAAGAAAGGAAAUGAAAAGGCACAUCUUUUGCAGAGAAACAUGUUAAUUGACAAACUAGAACUCAAACACAAGG
rnacentral:lncRNA from 1 species